rnacentral:lncRNA from 1 species
AACAGCAGUGUCAGCCAUAAUGCGAUACUCAGACUCAGUAGAGGAGCGCGAGACAAUCUGCUGUUUCUUGGCGCGCCAAGAAAUGAGGGAAUCGCCAAGGAAAAUGCAAAAUCCCGUGAUGGAUCGACGAUCAGUUACAUCAGAAGCCUAGUCGGCAUCAUAAUAAGCACGCAACUCGAGAGGAGAAGAGGACGGCAAAAACAAAGACCCCGUCAAAGUACCCUGAAAUAGCGCAGAAUUCGCAGAACAACAGCAUAAUAAGUCGAUCGAGGGGUAGCGCAGAAUUUGCAGAACAAUAGCAUAAUAAGUUGGCCGAAGGGCAGCGACAAACUGACUGACAACAUGAACUGCAUAAGCAAUGUUAGGCCGUGAAAUAGUAAGAUACACAAGACUAUCAACCAAAGUCCGAUAACGAGUCACACCAGAAAGAGGCUCCUUGUCGUCAAGGCGAAGCUUCUGAUUUAACUCAAGAGGAGUGACCGAAGUAUAGGAAUUCGAAAGAGCAUCCCUAGAGAGAAUAAUGGCAUCAUACUUCUGCUGAGAAAGAAGUAUACCAGGAGAACUACUAGUAAUCUCAAGCACAAAAAAUAACGCAAUGGACCAAGAUCCUUCAUGUCAAAAUGUCGCUAAAAAUGCCUCUUGGUUUGAACAAUAUAAUCAUAGUCAUUGCCAGUAAUGACCAUGUCAUCCACAUAAAGAAGAAGGAUGGUAUAGUGAGAAGACGAACUAUGAGCAAACAUAGCAUGAUUAGCCUCACUUUGAACACAAAGUCCACAGAACACAUAGCAAUAGUAAACAUCUCAAACCAAGCACACGGUGCUUGUUUGAGGCCAUAGAGAGCCCUUCAAACACGACAAACCAGACCGGGGGUAUGGGCAGGACUACACGGUGGCUACAUAAAAUUUUCUCUUGAAGAUACCCAUUAAGAAAAGUAUUCUUUACAUUGAGUCGAUAGAGAGGCCAAUUGCAAACAGAAGCAAUUGCCAGAAGAGUACAAAUAGAAGUCAUCUUUGCCACUGGAGCGAAAGUCUCCUCAUAGUCAGUGCCAUAAUCUUGUGAGAAAUGUCAUGCAACCAAACGCGCCUUGUAGCAUUCAAUAUCGCCGUCAGGAUCCAGUAACAGGAUACCAAGGAUCGACCCGGUGAAAGAGGGAGAAGUUUCGAAGUACCAGAACUCUAUAAGGCAAAAAGUUCUAUAGCCAUGGCCAAAUGCCACUCAGCAUGUCGUACUGCCUUGCGAUAACUAGUAGGUUCCUACACAUCAUGGACAAUAGCCAAAAAGAAACUAAACUCGGCAGAAUAAGAAGCAUCAACAACAUACUGAGCAGGGGGCGAUGAUCCCCAGGAGGAUUAUGACGCAGCUCUAGAAGGGUAGAAUCAUCAAUGGCAGGGGGAACAAGAGGGGCGUGGCAAGAGGUAGUUUAGGCAAAGAAGGAGGGGUAGAGAUAUCUAAAGGAGGAGAAGUAGGGGGAUGACGUGGGUUAGAACAAGGGUCAGCUGGGAAAUAAAUAAAAGGAAUAGGAGUAGACACUGAAGGCGUUGGUAACAGAGAAGUAAGGAACAUGCUUAUCAGAAAUGACAUUAUGAGAGAUACGAAUGCGUUGAGCAAUCGAAUCAAAACAACGACAUCCUUUAUGCUCGGUGUUGUAGCCUAAAAAUGUACGCAAUGUGGAUCAAGCAGUCAACUUCGUACGUUCAGUAGGAGGAAGAAGCUCGAAACACGUGCACCCAAAAACUUGAAGAUGUGUAUAGGUAGGAGAACGCGAAUGAAGUCACUGAAGGGGCGUAUCUUGAUGGAGAAUAGGUGAGGGAAGGCGGUUAAGAAGAUGAACAUCAGUGAGAAAAGCCUCAGACUAGAACUCGAUAGGAACUGAAGUAGAGAGUAAUGGAGCACAAGUAGUUUCAGGAAGAUGUCGAUGCUUACGUUCAACAACCCUAUUUUGAGUUGGGACACCAACAUAGGUAGGAAAGGUGUGGCAAUGUCCCAUCACUAACUAAGAGAGGACGAAAAGAAUCCAAGAGAUAUUCCCCCACUAGAGUUAGAGCGAGAAAACUUGAUUUUCUUUUGAAAUUGUGUAGAUAUCAUGGUAGUAAAAGUCUGAUAAAUAGUAAGAAAAUCACUAUAUCGACACAUAAGAUAGACCCCAAUAUAGUGAGAAUAAUCGUUAAUAAACGAAACAUAAUAUUUGAAACCACUCUUAGAUAAACAAGGGGAGGGCCCCAUAAAUCAGAAUUAACAAUAUCAAAAAUAGCACUAGAGCUAGAAGUGCUAGAAGUACUCGUAAGAAAAGGUAGAACAGACUGCUUUUGCUAAAAGACAAAUAGAAUAAGGCGGCAAAGCACUAGAGGGUAUAGGGCCAAGAACCCCCUAUUGUUGAAUGAUAAUAAGGUGAGAAAAGGAAGCAUGCCCAAGAUGCUGAUGCCAUCGCGCAAGAUCCAUGGUAGUCAACAUAGGAGGUGGAUGGAAGAUGAAGAGACUGCAUAGUGUACAACCCGCCAUGCUUACUGCCCUUGCCAAUCAACCUGCCACUCGAACGAUCCUACACAAAGCAAGAGCGAUCGGUAAAACUCACAAUAUAACCAACAUUAGUAAGCCGGCUGACAAAUAAUAAAUUGAGUGCUAGAGAAGGGACAUGCAGUGAAAAGAGGAGAAGGUAGACAAGAAGGUAGACAAGAAUCCCCUGUUGGGCAGCCAAAAGAGGAGAACCAUCAGCUAUAAAGAAUCAUGCUAGAAACUUGAGCUCAAAAAGCUCAAUGAGACAGGCAGUGAAAGCAGACAUGUGGAGUUUGGGACACUUGGAGUGCCAUAACUUGGCACAAGAAGACACUUAAGUGCCAUAACUUCGGAAAUGUACACUUAAUUGCCAAUUUCGGAGUAAAGUGGAACACUUAAGUGCCAAUCCGGCAAAAAUCUGGCAAAUGGGUGACGUGGCAAUUUUCCAAUAAGUUGGAUACAAAAUGACACCGUUUUGCAUGCUGACGUGGCGAGAAAAUGCAAAAAUAAUGUCGUUUUCUGUCUGAUUUGUAAAUAAUUAAUAUAAAAAUUAAUAAAUGAAAUUAAAAAUUAAUUUUAUUUAAAAUAUUCUAAAAAUCAAAAUUUAAAAUUUAAAAAACUUAAAAUAAAAAAACUUAAAAUUUAAAAUUUACAAAACUUAAAAUUUUAAAAACUUAAAAUUAAAAAAAUUAAAAUUUAAAAAACUUUAAAUUAAAAAAAUUUAAAUUUUAAAAAAUUAAAAUUAAAAAAAUGAAAUUUUAAAAACUGAAAAUUUAAAAAAAUUAAAACUUAAAAUUUAAAAAAAUUAAAAUUAAAAACUUAAAAUUUAAAAAAAUUAAAAUUAAAGAACUUACAAUUUUAAAAAAUUAAAAUUUUAAAAAAUUAAUAUUAAAAAAAUUAAAAUUUAAAAAAAAAUUAAAAUUUAAAAAAUUUAAAAUAUUCUAAAAAUCAAAAUUUAAAAUUUAAAAAAUCAAAAUUUAGAAAACUUAAAAUUAAAAAAAAUUAAAAUAUAAAAAACUUAAAAUUUAAAAAACUUAAAAUUUAAAAACCUUAAAAUUUAAUUUUUUUUUAAAAUUUUAAGUUUUUUUUUUUUAAAUUUUAAUUUGUUUAAUUUUAAUUUAAUUUAUUUUUAAGUUUUUUAAAUUUUAAGUUUUUUUAAUUUUAAGUUUUUCAAAUUUUGAGUUUAUUAAAUUUUAAGUUUUUUAUUUUUUAGAAUAUUUUAAAUAAAAUUAAGUUUUAAUUCAAUUUAAUUAAUUUUUAUAUUAAUUAUUUACACAUUAGAUACAAAACGACGUUGUUUUUGCAUUUUCUCGCCAUGUCAGCAUACAAAAUGGUGCCGUUUUGUGUCCAACUCGCCAGAAAAUUGCCACAUCACCCAUUUGGCCGGAUUUUCGCCAAAGUGGUAUCUAAGUGUUCCAUUUAUCUUCGAAACUGGCAUUUAAGUGUAUCUUUUCGAAGUUAUGGUACUUAAGUGUCCUCCCGUGCCAAGUUAUGGCACUUGGGCUGUUCUUCUGCCCAGACAUGUGUCUAGCAAUUCCUAAGCAAAAAAUCCAAUCACUAGAAGAGCCACCUAAUGAGGAAGCAACGGCCGUAAAAGAAUCAGCAGGAGUAAUAACAACCGAAAGACCAGAACUGAAUGACAGAAAGCUAAGUUGCAACUUAUUUAAGCGAGCUCGUUGAGCCUCAAGAGCAGCAAAUCACCCAUCCAUAGAAUGAGAAGUGAGAGAGACAUGUUGAGCCAGAGUAGGAGCGGGUGAAGUUCGAGAGGAGCACUGGGCAUUGCACUGCUUCUUAUUACAGCGACAAUCGAUUUGACCACAUUGAUGAUAGUAAAAACAUUGAACAAAUUGUUGAGAACCCUAACUGGGAGCAUGAGGCGAUAAUGUAAGUUGAGGAAUAGCAACUAGAACAAUAUUAGGAUCAAGCAUUGUAAAAGAUGAGAGAAGACCCAGCCCAGCUUCCUCAUACUGAAGUUCCUUGACAGCAUCAAGAAGAGAGGGUGGAGAAUUUCAAUAAAGAAUCUAACUACAUGCACCCUCAAAAGCAGGUCGAAGCUUCGUAAAAAAAUCAUAAAGUCACAGUCCAUCCUGAGUUUGUAGCCAUAGAAGACUGACACGUGACAUAGCUUGAACAUGUGGAACAUAAAGUGGAAGACAAAAUGUCAAGCUAAUUCCAAGCACUUCAAAUAAUUAUAAAACUCAUGAAUAGAUUGAGCUCCCAAAGUAGCAAUUGCAAUUUCUUGCUAUAACUGGUAGACACGGAUAUAGCCAGUCUAAGUAAACAUGUCGGCGAGUUAAUCCUAGAAAUUUUUUGCACCCAUGAUGUGAGCAGACUAUGAGCGAAGCACAUGAUCAAGAGAGCCAAAUACAAUGGCCCUGGACCUUGAAUUAGCAACAGUCCAAGUUCGAAUGUCAGAUUUACGCUAAGCAAUCGCUUUAGAAGUGAGUUUGGAUUGCUCAGCAUCCUUGAGUUGGGCAGGACAAACGUGAAUAUCCUCAACAAGCCCAAAUAAGUCUCGAUAAACAAGUGCAGCCAUAGCUGAUGGCCACCAAAAAGCGUAAUUGGAGCCCUUGAGUUUGACAUCAAUCCAGUCACCCAAAUCACCCAUAUCAAAUCCAAUAGAACAUAAAACAACCAAAAUUCAAGAGCACCAAUAAUGAGGGCGUGUGAGAGCGUGUGUCAAGAUUUCAUCGAGUGGUGCAUGUGAAGUGUGAGAGGUUACCGGUGACUAGACGAUGAACAUGUUGUCGUCAAAUUGAUGAAACCACAAGAACGCAAUGGUGAAGAGUCUUGAGCUUCGAACGACAACGUCAAAUCGUGAUGAACUUGAUUGUCGAUGAUGUAGCAAUGCUCAAAGGCAUAGUGUGUUAUUUAUUUUUGUGAUUCCACAUUUCCGGACCCACAUUUUCUCUUUAAAGUGACGGUUAUUCGACAUGUAGUUUUUCCACAUUUCGUACAUUUUCGUGACAACCGCCUAUUUAGUAACCGUCUUGAUGGGGGACGGUUUAUAAAAAGAACGAUCGUUUAUUUCUAACGGGUGAUCACAAGGUCUAAUACAAAUCCUCACAUUUGGAAUACACCAUCAAUACAUGAGGGAAUUGGGUUAGUAGUGUGUGCCCAAUAUUUUCUUUGAUUUUUUGGGAUUUUCGAUGAAUGUGAAUACGAACAAUGGCUGGAGGUUUGUCUAUAUUUUCAUUAUGAAUUAAAUCUCUUACAUUUGGUAUCAGAGCAUGUUUAGUGCCUUUGCUUUGUUUUUGUCGAAUUUUUGGUGUAUUUUCGGGCAUUUUAAAGAUGAACAGUAACUCAGAGUUUUGAGGCCAAAAGAGAAACUUGCCGAUUCCGGGCAAAAUCCGAUGACCCUUCGCUCGAUUUUGGACCCAUACGGUCGCACCGCCAUGAGGAACAUUAGCCAUGAGUUAUUCCGGUAUAUUGGUGUUAGCCGAAGGCUAAUUGGACGGCGGAAGUCGCGGUGGUUGAGGAUUUGUGUUUUGGGGAAUUUUCUUUUGUUUUGGGGCUAAAUUCUUGCUCAUUUUCACCGAAACUUGGACCCAUGUGGUCGUGCCGGCAUGUUCUCCAAAACCCAUUAUUUAGUUGUGUCAAAGAUGGGCUGCCAGAAAAGAAACGGCAGUGAAAUCACAGCGGAACGGCGAAAAAUGAUGAAGAAAAUGGUUUUGUGCGCAAGAGAGAAGGCGUUUGGGCUUCAUGCGCAUGUUGCAGUUGCAAGCGCGUGGAACCCACACGCCACGCAUGCGGAACUGCCCGUGGUAGUUGCCAAGCAUGUGCGUUGUGCGUUGGACGCGUGCGUGCGGGGCACGCGCCCGCGGCGGAUGCAGGCAUGUGCUCGGCACACGCCUGACGUACUGCGGCGCUGUUUUUACUUUUUUGCGCCUACGCCAAUUCAUAAAUUCCUGUUUUGCCAUUUCAAAAAUUUUGCAAUCCUGCCCUUGACCAAUUUAUUUACUGUUCUGCCCCUUGGUACAUUUAUUUAUUAUUUUGUCCUUUCAUGCAUUUUAUGAAUAUUUUGUGCAUGAAAUUAAAUGUACAAUGAUCCAUAUAUUUAAUUAAUUAGAGAGUACAUCUUUAAUUAAUUAAAUUAUAUAUUAGGAGUCUUCGGAUCAUAUUUAGAAGUGGACAUUGAUUGUAAUUAAUUAUAUUAAUAUUAUGAAUGUUAUCCUACAGGAAUUUUCAUGACAUGUUUACAAUGGUAAAACAUGAUUUAUGUAUAUUUGCCUCAAAUUUUGUGACAUAAACAUGAUUAUUUGAUAUGCAGUUUCGCAACCUGUGAAUUUCUCUGAAUUUAAGUGUGAUGUUCCCAUAAAGUUCUUCUUCAAUUGGGGUGGAUGACAUUGACUAUGCUAUAAGGAAAGACAAACCACCUGCUCCUAUUGAUUUGAGCACUGCAGCUGAGAUAGCUCUCUAUAACAAAUGGGAGCGGUCUAAUCGCGUUUGUGCGAUGUUUAUAAGGGCUAAGACAUCUCUUAGUAUUCGUGAUUCGGUUGCUCAGCAUAGCAAUGCUAAGGCCUUAUUGGAGGCCAUAGAUGCGCAAUUUGAGACUUCUGAGAAGGUGCAUGCCAUGACCCUGAUUAUGAAGUUUUCAUCGUUGAAGCUCACUAGUGUUAGAGGUGUGUGUGGGCACAUCAUGCAAAUGAGGGACAUAGCGACUCAGCUUAAAAACCUUGAGGUUGAGAUAUCUGAAUCUUUCCUUGUGUAUUAUAUUUUGAACACUCUCCCGCAACAGUAUGCGCCUUUCAAGAUCUCUUAUAACACACAUAAUAAUAAAUGACCAAUUAAUGAACUUAUGACCAUGUGUGUUCAAGAGGAGGAAAGAUUGAUUAUGGAAUUGGGAGAAAGUGCUAAUUUAGCGACACAAGGAAAAAAAUAAGGGCCAUGGCAAGCAUAAGGGAAAGGUAAAAUACCUCCCCAAGCUGACAUUAAAAAAGAAUCCAAAUCUUUCUUCUGUAAAAGGAAUGGGCAUAUAAAGAAGGAUUACGUCAGAUUUAAGACCUGGCUUGAGAAUAAAGGUAAUCCAAUCUCUUGUGUUUGUUAUGAAUUUAAUAUGGCUGAUGUAAGUCACAACAUUUGGUGGAUUGAUUCUAGAUCUACAAUCCACAUUUCGAAUUCCUUGCAGGAUUUUCAAAACCACUGGAAACUAGUGGGAAGUGAACAAAGCAUCUAUUCAAGAAACAAGAUGUGUUCGCAUAUGGAAGCUAUUAGGACAUACAUAUUGGUUUUCAAUAGUGGCUUUGUUUUAAAUUUGGAAAUGACCUUUUAUGUUCCUAGUUUCUCUAGAAACUUAAUUUCGGUUUCAAGACUUGUACCUUUGGGUUACUCUUUUAACUUUUCAAAUUCAAACUUCUAUUUAUCGUUUAAAUCUGAAAUUGUUGGGAGUGGUACUUUGUCAGAUGGUCUUUUUCGAAUUAAUUUACAAGACAAUGCCUAUUAUGAUGCAAUGCAUGUUCAUGAUAAUGUUGGUAUGAAACGAUGUGUUGUGAAAGAACAUUCCUCUAUGUUGUGGCACCGGAGAUUGUGACAUAUCUCCAUAGAAAGAAUUAAGCGAUUAGUAAAUGAUGGAGUACUUAGUAUUUUACAUUUUACAUUUUACUGAUUGUGAUACUUGUGUGGACUGCAUAAAGGGAAAGCAAACCAACAAGAUGAAGAAAGGUACCAAGAGGAGUAUAGAAAUAUUAGAAAUCAUACAUAUGGAUAUUUGUAGUUCGGAUAUGGACUAGUGUGGUCAGAAAUACUUCAUCUCUUUCAUAGAUGAUUGCUCACGUUACAUGUAUCUCAACUUGUUUCAUAAUAAGCAUGAAGUGUUAGAUGCCUUUAAGGUAUUUAAGGUGGAAGUAUAUAAAUAAUGUGGUAAACAAAUUAAGAUCGUGAGAUCAAAUAGAAGUAGAAAAUUUUAUGAUAGAUACACUGAAGAUGGACAAGCACCUGGUCCAUUUGCAAAAUUUCUUCAAGAGCAUGGGAUAGUUGCUCAAUAUACUAUGCUUGGUUCUCCGGACCAAAAUGGUGUAGCGGAAAGAAGAAACCAGACCUUAUUGGACAUGGUGCGGAGUAUGCUUAGCGGCUCCAAACUUUCUAAAUCAUUGUGGACAGAAACACUUAAUACGGUAGUGUGCAUAUUAAACCGAGUUCUGACCAAAGCUGUCUCAAAGACACAUUUUGAGUUAUUUAAAGGUUGGAAACCGAGUUUGCAACAUGUAUGCGUUUGGGGAUGCCCAUCUGAAGUGAGAGUUUACAAUCCACAAGAAAAAAAGUUGGACGCAAGGAUCAUAAGUGGGUAUUUCAUUGGAUAUGCCGAAAGGUUUAAGGGUACAAGUUUUAUUGUCUGUCUCACACCACUAGGAUUGUGGAAGCAAGAAGUGCUAAAUUUCUUGAAAAUGAUUUGAUUAGUGGGAGCGAGUGAUUGAAAGAUCUUGUUCCUAAGAAAGAUUAUACAAACACUCAACCUUCCACCUCAAGUUUAAGGUUGGUUGUUACUCAUAAUGCCCAUUCAGUUCAACCGGCUAUUGAACAACCAAUUGGUGAAGUUCCACAAUCUGCUAAUAUUGAUCUAGUAGAUCUAGUUGUUCAACAAUUACCAGAAACUGUUGAACAACCAGUUGAACAACAUGCUCCUCAAGAGAAUGUUGAUGCAACAUCGAUAAGAUCUACUAGAAUAAGGAAAUUGGCAAUUCCUAGUGAUUAUAUUGUGUAUUUACAAGAGUUUGACUACAAUAUUGGAGUUGAGAAUAAUCCUGAAACGUUUUCACAAGCCAUGGAUAGUGAUAAAUCCAAUUUGUGGUGCAAUGCCAUGAAGGAAGAGAUGAGUUCUAUGGCAUCCAACGAAAUUUGGGAUUUGGUUGAGUUGCCUAAUGGUGCGAAUGCCAUUAGUUGUAAAUGGGUCUUCAAAACUAAGAAAGAUUUAUUGGGUAACAUUGAAAGAUAUAAAGCUAGACUCGUUGCCAAAGGAUUCACUCAAAAGGAAGAAAUCGAUUACACGGAGACUUUUUCUCCUAUAUCUAAGAAAGAUUCUCUUUGUAUUGUUUUGGUAUUGGUUGCCCAUUUUGAUAUGGAAUUACAUCAGAUGGAUGUGAAAACGGCGUUCCUCAAUAGAGAACUAGAGAAGGAGGUUUACAUAAAACAACCUAAAGGAUUCAUCUCUAAUAAAGGUAAGCAUUUGGUGUGUAAGCUUAAAAAAUCUAUAGAUGGCUUGAAACAAGCAUCCCACCAAUAGUACUUAAGGUUCCAUGAUGUUAUUUCUUCUUUCAGUUUUGUAGAGAAUGUCAUGGAUCAAUGCAUAUACCAGAAGGUCAGUGAGAGUAAAAUUUGUUUUCUUGUGCUAUAUGUGGAUGAUAUUUUACUUGCAACUAAUGAUAAGGGGUUGCUACAUGAGGUGAAACAAUUUCUCUCUAAGAAUUUUGAUAUGAAGGAUAUGGGUGGGGCAUCUUAUGUCAUUGGCAUUAAGAUCCAUAGAGAUGAACUUCGAGGAAUUUUAGGACUAUCUCAAGAAACCUAUAUCAAUAAAGUCCUAGAGAGAUUUCGGAUGAAAGAUUGUUUACCAAGUAUUGCAUCCAUUAUGAAGGUGACAGAUUUAAUUUGAAUCAAUCCCCGAAGAACGAUCUAGAAAUGGAACAAAUGUACAACAUUCCAUAUGCUUCUGCUGUUGAAAGCUUGAUGUAUGCUCAGGUUUGCACUCGACCUAACAUCGCUUUUGCUAUGGGAAUGUUAGGAAAAUAUUAGAGUAAUACAGGUAUAAACCACUAGAAAGCUGCAAAGAAAGUGAUGAGAUACCUUCAACGUACCAAAGACUACAUGCUUAUGUAUAGACGAACUGACAACCUGGAAGUAGUCAGUUAUUCGGAUGCGGAUUUCGCGGGCUGCAUUGAUUCAUGGAAAUCAGCAUCUGGAUACAAUUUUUUUGUUAGCUGGCGAAGCCGUGUCAUGGAGAAGUCUAAUAUUAGGUUAGUGGGCCCCAAAAUAAGAAAAAGAAAAAAAAACAAAGUUGAAAAGUCAAUAAGCAAAAAGGAGAGGGGUCGGUUAAAUAGAAGCUGAGAGGUCCCUCGACCAAAAAGAAAAGAAGAAGAAGAAGAAGAAGAAGAGAAAGGGGAAGAAAGGAAAGGGGUUUUGGCAUGUGCACGCCACGGAUGCCUCGCCAAGUCGACUCGACUCCAUAACGUAGCACUCGGUAAGAGAUUAGGCCCCUCGUUCGUCCAAUUGAAGUAAUUUAUGGGUUUAGGGUUCAAAUUCAGAAUUUUGGAAAAUCGAGCGGCGAAGUCUAAUUUUGGAGUCGUUGAGCCGUGCAUUUUUGUAGGAAUGGUAGUUUAGGGUGUUGUGGAGCUGUGGGAUUUUACGGAUUGUGAUUUGAGCUUAUGGUUUGUCCGAAGCAAAAUUUCAAAGUUUCCCGCGCGCAGUGAACCGUUCGUGUCUAGCAGCUUUGGGCCCGUAUUUUGUCAUUUUUUGGCUUGAUUUUGGGACGAUCAAGUUGGGAUUCUUGUAAUAUGUGUCAAGGGCUCUCUAUUGACUAUAAGUAUGUUCGGAACGGGGUUCAGAGGAGGAAGUUACUACGUAACUAAGUUUUGCGCUUAAACUCCGCGUCACGAAUGGCUUGAACAAUCAUUUUGGUUAUGCGAUUUGUUAGCGCGUAGAAGUCUUUUUGUUAGAGUUAAGGCGUAAUUGAGUUGUUUCGUAGUUGAUAUAGAGUUUUAUUAGAUUUUAACAUUUUUCCCGGUUAUUUGAUAAGGCCUUGAGUUCAACGAUACGAGUAUCGUUCGUCGUUUGAUCGUAGACGACGAGGUGAGUGAUACAAAUCUUAUUUGGUUUUGUAAAAUCAUGUCUUGAAGUAUAUAUAUGUAUAUAUAUUGAAUUGAGAAGAGCAUUUUUAUUGCAUAAAAUUCAAAUCGAGUAAUUGCUACUCUUUGGUUGAUUGUGGAUGUUUGAAAGGCGUAUUAUACAAAGUAAAUGGAUAAAGAUAUAUGAAAUUGCUUUGCGAAUGAUUUAUGGAAAUAUUUAUGAUAAUUUGAGAAAUGGAUAUGAAAUGGAUGAUGGGCUAUGUUGCAAAUGUUCUUUGUUUAGUUUAAAAUAUUGAUUUCUGGAUUGUAUUUCUAGUAUUGGAGAAUGGUUAUUUAUGCUCAAUAUAACUGUGAACGCAUUUUGGGGUUUUUGGGGUAUGCAUACCAAGUUUAGGAUAUCCUUCUGGGCCCAUCCAUCGGCUUUGUAAGUGGAGACCUUGCCAAGGGAAAAUCUUGGUCACCUUGUCACAAGGCGUUGUUUCAUGACUAUGGUUAGUUAUUGAGCAAAAGAUUGGUCGAUGGAUGGACCAUCGACGUGUGUUUGAUAUGAGAUGAAUCAAUGGAUAGACCAUUGAUAUGUGUUUUUGAUGGAGAUUAUUCAAUGGAUUCGACCAUUGAUACUUGAUUUUUGAUGGCGAUUUAAAUGAGUUUUUCAUAUUAGUAUAAAGCUUUGAUGGUAAGAAAUACUCUUAUAAGAUUUGAUAUGUAUUUUAUAUAUUGAGUUGGCGUUAUGAAGUUUGGUAUUGCUUUGUAUAUAUGCAUAGUAGUUGUUUGAUCUGCUUAAAAGAUAUGUACUACUCACCGAGCUGUUGUUGCUCAUUCUACUCCUCCUUUAAUCUUUUCAGGUUCCUCGGUUAGCGGCGAAUAGAGCGAGAGCGCCAUCGGUGGGAAACUUUUGGGGAUAACUAUUUUGUUUUUUUUUUUUUUUUGUAUGGUUUAAGGAAGUGGUGCACAUGAUCCUUGCUAGUGGUUGGAUUGUCUAAGUUCUAAAUGUAUCUUUUUUUUGUGGAUUAUAGAAACUCUGAUGUUGCAACCAAUUUGUUAGUUUAUCAUAUAUGUACAUAUAUGGUUUGAGACAUAUAUAAGUUGAUAUUAGGUUAUUGGUUGUGUUUGAGGCUGCGUCCUUCAUGUGGAAGGACGACCGUAUCAUUUUCAUUUUUUGUAGUUUUGGGGUGUGACAUCUUUUGGUAUCAGAGCCUAAGUUUUGAUCUUUUUGGAUGUAGUUAUGGUACGUUGUGAGGUUAUGUGAUAGAUUUUAUUUUUGCGUUAGUCUUUUAGAUUCUAAGGUGUAGUUUCGUUCUUGGAUUCAGGUGAUCAUGAGUAUCGACUCUGAGACACUUGCCUCGCUUCGUAGGAGUAGCAAAGUCAAAUGAGUCGCUACCCCUGAUGCAUGCCUCAAACUUCUUGAGGUCUGUCUUUGAGAAGGAGACUUGAGGACCGCUAUGAUAGGAGUCCUGACUUGUGCGAAGUCAGAGAAGAGGAUCAAGAGCCAACCCCUUCAACUAAAUUUGAACAAGCAAUGAUCCAUUGGUAUCGCCAAGCAAAAGAAUUAACUGGAGAUAGAGUGACUGGCUCAGGCCCAUUUUAGAAAGGCGAAACCACCCACUUUUGAUGGGAAAGCUGAUCCUCUUGCGGCUGAGCGUUGGAUUAAAAAGAUUGAUGGGAUCUUUGAAGUUGAAGAGGUUCCCGAGGAUCGGAAAGUUAAAUUUGCCACCCAAUACUUAGAAGGUGAAGCAGAGUUUUGGUGGGAUGGAAUGAAGCCAAGUCUUGGAGGUAGGGAUGUUAUUAUAUCUUAGGAGGACUUUAAAAAGGUGUUUAAUGCUCAAUUCUUCCCAAAGUCAUUCCAGGCAAAGAUGAAGGGUGACUUUGGAGUAUUCAGUCCGCUUUAAUCAGUUGAGUAGAUUUGCGGAGCACUUGGUAGCAAAUGAGGAAGAUAAGGCCGACCAUUUCCUAAAAGGGCUCCGACUUGAAAUUAAUUCCGCAUUUGCACCUUUCAUAUUAACAACUUAUAAGGAUGUGCUAGAAUGAGCAAUCAAGGUGGAACAAAGCAUUCUGAAGCAUGGCACACAAGGAGCGCCUCAACCCAAAAGAUUUAAGCCCAUAAAUGUACAAGGUAGCCAUACUUAUGGUAGUGGAAGGCGAAGAGGUUUCAGCUGACCAAGACAGUUUAGAAAGUCGAGUACUGGGGCCCCUAUAAUACAUGUGGAAGUUAUUAUCGCGGUGAGUGUCAUCGGAAAACCGGAGUAUGCUUGUCAUGUGGGAAAGCGGGACACAUGCGGCGAGAUUGUCUUACACAAAGGAAUCUCCUAUUGACAAUAGAUCAUGUUAUCUAUGUGGGCGACAAGGGCACCUACCACACCAUUCUUCCAUGCGAAAGAAUACCCCUUUGGUUGGUAGGCCCCAAGAAAACCAACAAAGACAAAGUACAAAUGGGAAAGUUUUUGCGAUAACGAAGGAGGAUGCGACAGCAUCUAACGCAGUUGUAGCAUCUAACGCAGUUGUUGCAGGUAAUAUUUCUAUUGCCUUGCAAUGUGCUUAUGUGUUAUUUGAUUCUAGUGCUACGCACUCAUUCAUUUCAACUGAAUUUGCAAAUAAGCUUGAUGUGUUGCCUGACCCUCUUGAAUGUGAAUUGUGUGUUGAUACUCCUAUUAGCAAUAUCUUAGUUGGUCAUCAUGUGUUCAAGUGAUGUGAAUCAUUGCGGAAGGAUCAUUCUACGAAGGCGCAGAUGGUGCGAAUUGCAAACCUCGACCUCCAAUCAAACCUGUGAUUGGCAACCUCGGUAUGAACGUGACCUGUUGACGAACACGUGUCAACCAACCAACGUUAUAGACGCCACGAGCGAAAGAAUUCGCUAUCUUGCUCGAUAAGUCGAAUUGACCGCCACAAGAGAAUCUUGAUUAGGUCAAGUCCUCAAAAGAACAGUAAAAAGAGAACCUCUCAAUUCUUUUCCUCCAAAAAUAAAAUAUAUCUGUCCCCAAAGAAAUUUGCCAAAUCCUUUAUAUAGGUUGCCACACAAACCCUAAAAAACCAACCCUAAAAAUCUAAUGCGUUAUAUUCUAAAAUAUUCCUAUUUUAGAAUAUUCUUAAACAAGAAUAUAUAUAAAUUGACUUGGUCAAUUAUUUGGUGACAAGAUAACUAAAUUGCACCAAGAUUUUCAAGAUUCUUCUAGAUUUGAUCCAAGGUCAUCUUCACGCCAAAGAUCACGAACCAUGGCGCCAACAGCUUGCCUGAAUUGUUUGGCCCGCGCUCGAGUAAUCGAACCAGUAGGAAUAGACAAUGGGUCCCUAGCACCUCCUCCUCGAUAUGACUCGAUGUCCACAUCAUUCCCUCCCCCGUGCAAAGGAUUUGUCCUCAAAUCAUUACUGGCAUAAAAAAAAGUCAAGUCAGAAACAUUAAAUGUGGCACUAACGUCAUACUUACCUAGAAGAUCAAGCUUGUAAGCAUUAUUGUUAACUCUUUCCAAAACCAUGAAUGGUCCAUCCCCUCGUGGUAAUAACUUAGAAUGUCGCUGCUCAGGAAAUCUCUCUUUGCGCAUAUGAACCCAAACCCAAUCGCCAGGUUCAAACACCACUUCCUUGCGCCCUUUGUUAGCUUGCCUUGCAUAUUGCUAGUCUUGCGCUCAAUAUUUGUGCGCGUCUUCUCAUGCAACGCCUUGACAAAUUCAGCUUUCUUUGCUCCAUCUAAAUCCACACGCUUAUCAACAGGUAAAGGGGUUAAAUCUAACGGAGUUAAUGGAUUAAAACCAUAGACAACCUCAAAUGGUGUAAAUUUAGUAGCAGAAUGCAUGCUCCUAUUAUAUGCAAAUUCAACAUGUGGCAGACAAUCUUCCCAAGAUUUUAUGUUCUUUUUAAUAAUAGAACGCAACAAUACCCCUAAAGUUCUAUUAACUAACUCGGUUUGACCAUCGGUCUGUGGAUGACAAGUAGUAGAAAAUAACAACCGUGUUCCUAGUUUUUUCCACAAUGUUUUCCAAAAGUAGCUAAGAAAUUUAGAAUCUCGAUCUGAAACAAUCGAUCUAGGCAUGCCAUGCAAACGUACAACCUCCUUAAAGAACAAAUUAGCAAUAUGAGAUGCAUCAUCAGUUUUAUGACAAGGUAUAAAAUGAGCCAUCUUUGAAAACCGAUCAACAACCACAUAAAUAGAAUCUCUACCAUACUUAGACCUAGGCAAUCCUAANNNNNNNNNNNNNNNNNNNNNNNNNNNNNNNNNNNNNNNNNNNNNNNNNNNNNNNNNNNNNNNNNNNNNNNNNNNNNNNNNNNNNNNNNNNNNNNNNNNNNNNNNNNNNNNNNNNNNNNNNNNNNNNNNNNNNNNNNNNNNNNNNNNNNNNNNNNNNNNNNNNNNNNNNNNNNNNNNNNNNNNNNNNNNNNNNNNNNNNNNNNNNNNNNNNNNNNNNNNNNNNNNNNNNNNNNNNNNNNNNNNNNNNNNNNNNNNNNNNNNNNNNNNNNNNNNNNNNNNNNNNNNNNNNNNNNNNNNNNNNNNNNNNNNNNNNNNNNNNNNNNNNNNNNNNNNNNNNNNNNNNNNNNNNNNNNNNNNNNNNNNNNNNNNNNNNNNNNNNNNNNNNNNNNNNNNNNNNNNNNNNNNNNNNNNNNNNNNNNNNNNNNNNNNNNNNNNNNNNNNNNNNNNNNNNNNNNNNNNNNNNNNNNNNNNNNNNNNNNNNNNNNNNNNNNNNNNNNNNNNNNNNNNNNNNNNNNNNNNNNNNNNNNNNNNNNNNNNNNNNNNNNNNNNNNNNNNNNNNNNNNNNNNNNNNNNNNNNNNNNNNNNNNNNNNNNNNNNNNNNNNNNNNNNNNNNNNNNNNNNNNNNNNNNNNNNNNNNNNNNNNNNNNNNNNNNNNNNNNNNNNNNNNNNNNNNNNNNNNNNNNNNNNNNNNNNNNNNNNNNNNNNNNNNNNNNNNNNNNNNNNNNNNNNNNNNNNNNNNNNNNNNNNNNNNNNNNNNNNNNNNNNNNNNNNNNNNNNNNNNNNNNNNNNNNNNNNNNNNNNNNNNNNNNNNNNNNNNNNNNNNNNNNNNNNNNNNNNNNNNNNNNNNNNNNNNNNNNNNNNNNNNNNNNNNNNNNNNNNNNNNNNNNNNNNNNNNNNNNNNNNNNNNNNNNNNNNNNNNNNNNNNNNNNNNNNNNNNNNNNNNNNNNNNNNNNNNNNNNNNNNNNNNNNNNNNNNNNNNNNNNNNNNNNNNNNNNNNNNNNNNNNNNNNNNNNNNNNNNNNNNNNNNNNNNNNNNNNNNNNNNNNNNNNNNNNNNNNNNNNNNNNNNNNNNNNNNNNNNNNNNNNNNNNNNNNNNNNNNNNNNNNNNNNNNNNNNNNNNNNNNNNNNNNNNNNNNNNNNNNNNNNNNNNNNNNNNNNNNNNNNNNNNNNNNNNNNNNNNNNNNNNNNNNNNNNNNNNNNNNNNNNNNNNNNNNNNNNNNNNNNNNNNNNNNNNNNNNNNNNNNNNNNNNNNNNNNNNNNNNNNNNNNNNNNNNNNNNNNNNNNNNNNNNNNNNNNNNNNNNNNNNNNNNNNNNNNNNNNNNNNNNNNNNNNNNNNNNNNNNNNNNNNNNNNNNNNNNNNNNNNNNNNNNNNNNNNNNNNNNNNNNNNNNNNNNNNNNNNNNNNNNNNNNNNNNNNNNNNNNNNNNNNNNNNNNNNNNNNNNNNNNNNNNNNNNNNNNNNNNNNNNNNNNNNNNNNNNNNNNNNNNNNNNNNNNNNNNNNNNNNNNNNNNNNNNNNNNNNNNNNNNNNNNNNNNNNNNNNNNNNNNNNNNNNNNNNNNNNNNNNNNNNNNNNNNNNNNNNNNNNNNNNNNNNNNNNNNNNNNNNNNNNNNNNNNNNNNNNNNNNNNNNNNNNNNNNNNNNNNNNNNNNNNNNNNNNNNNNNNNNNNNNNNNNNNNNNNNNNNNNNNNNNNNNNNNNNNNNNNNNNNNNNNNNNNNNNNNNNNNNNNNNNNNNNNNNNNNNNNNNNNNNNNNNNNNNNNNNNNNNNNNNNNNNNNNNNNNNNNNNNNNNNNNNNNNNNNNNNNNNNNNNNNNNNNNNNNNNNNNNNNNNNNNNNNNNNNNNNNNNNNNNNNNNNNNNNNNNNNNNNNNNNNNNNNNNNNNNNNNNNNNNNNNNNNNNNNNNNNNNNNNNNNNNNNNNNNNNNNNNNNNNNNNNNNNNNNNNNNNNNNNNNNNNNNNNNNNNNNNNNNNNNNNNNNNNNNNNNNNNNNNNNNNNNNNNNNNNNNNNNNNNNNNNNNNNNNNNNNNNNNNNNNNNNNNNNNNNNNNNNNNNNNNNNNNNNNNNNNNNNNNNNNNNNNNNNNNNNNNNNNNNNNNNNNNNNNNNNNNNNNNNNNNNNNNNNNNNNNNNNNNNNNNNNNNNNNNNNNNNNNNNNNNNNNNNNNNNNNNNNNNNNNNNNNNNNNNNNNNNNNNNNNNNNNNNNNNNNNNNNNNNNNNNNNNNNNNNNNNNNNNNNNNNNNNNNNNNNNNNNNNNNNNNNNNNNNNNNNNNNNNNNNNNNNNNNNNNNNNNNNNNNNNNNNNNNNNNNNNNNNNNNNNNNNNNNNNNNNNNNNNNNNNNNNNNNNNNNNNNNNNNNNNNNNNNNNNNNNNNNNNNNNNNNNNNNNNNNNNNNNNNNNNNNNNNNNNNNNNNNNNNNNNNNNNNNNNNNNNNNNNNNNNNNNNNNNNNNNNNNNNNNNNNNNNNNNNNNNNNNNNNNNNNNNNNNNNNNNNNNNNNNNNNNNNNNNNNNNNNNNNNNNNNNNNNNNNNNNNNNNNNNNNNNNNNNNNNNNNNNNNNNNNNNNNNNNNNNNNNNNNNNNNNNNNNNNNNNNNNNNNNNNNNNNNNNNNNNNNNNNNNNNNNNNNNNNNNNNNNNNNNNNNNNNNNNNNNNNNNNNNNNNNNNNNNNNNNNNNNNNNNNNNNNNNNNNNNNNNNNNNNNNNNNNNNNNNNNNNNNNNNNNNNNNNNNNNNNNNNNNNNNNNNNNNNNNNNNNNNNNNNNNNNNNNNNNNNNNNNNNNNNNNNNNNNNNNNNNNNNNNNNNNNNNNNNNNNNNNNNNAAUUUGGCUUCUCAUCUCUCUUCCAUUGGAUCUCCAAUUCUGAUUUGAACCUCCUCCACUCUUGUGAUUUCGGUCCAACUUCAAUUGCCGCUCAACUUUGAUGGCUUUGUCCACCAAUUCUUCCAAUUCAACAUAGUGUUGCAGCUCUACCACCCUUGCUAUGUCUCAGCUCAAACCACUCAAAAAUCUUGACAUUGUGGCCUCACGAUCCUCCAUCACAUUAGCACGGAUCAUGGCAAUCUCCAUCUCCUUGUGAUACUCUUCCACGCUCUUAUUGCCUUGUGUGAGGUUUUGUAACUUUUGAAACAAAUCUCGAUGGUAAUGACUUGGCACAAAAUGCCUCCUCAUCAUCGCUUUCAUCUCAUCCCACGUCUCUAUCGGUCUUUCACCAUUGCACCUCCUACUAGUCACAAGUUGAUCCCACCAAAUUAUAGCAUAAUCAGUAAAUUCAACAACUGCAAUUUUUACCUUUUUGAGCUCAGAGUAUCGUUGGCAAUCAAAUACCAUCUCCAUGCGUUUCUCCCACUCUAGAUACGCAUCGGGAUCAUUCUUCCCUUGGAAGGAAGGAAUCUUCAUCUUGAUGUUGCCAAGUUCAUCAUCUCCUCGGUGUUUAAACCUUUGGCCUCCAUUCCACCUUUCAAAUCGAGCAUCUCGAUCAUCCUCCAUGUCGGCCUCAUCAUCAUCAUAUUGCCGUUGCCUUCUAUGUUGUGUUCUAGAGGCAUCUCACUGAUGUUGCGGCCUUCCUCGGGGUAUCUCUCGGUCACCAUCAACCCUCAUGCCAUUCCCCAUCAUUCGGCCACUAAGCUCCUCCACUACGACCCUCAAUUGCUGGAUGCUUUCCACGAGCGCUUCAUCCCUUCAUAUGGAGUCAACCUCCCGUUGAUUCAUGCUUUCUUCGCGCGACAUAUUUUAGACCUGCAAGUAAACGUUAGUCUAAAAAAAAUCCUCACCAAUCACUCCCUCACGUGUUUCUCUCGAGAUAUUUGUCACUCCUCUCGUGUUUAACUCAAGUCUAGGCUUUUUCCACCCUCAAUUAAGCUUACACACUCUUGCCUUUUUCCUCUCGUAUUCUCUUUUCACAAGCUCUUUAUUGGAUUCAAAACCUAUCUCUCAACCCCCUCACGACAAUCAAUCAAACUAAUCAAACAAGAUUAGAUCACUAUUGAUUUUGUUUCAGCAAGUAACAAUUUCAAACCAACAAGUACAACUUUCGAAAUUCCAAUUGAAACGCAAAUCACUACUGAUUUUGUUUCAAUUUGGUCUACUAACAAACGAGUCGCCUUCUUGAUUUUUUUUUUGUUCGGCUAAUUUUUUUUUUUGCCAAAUCUGUUUUUUUUUUCUCUUGCACACUUUUUUUUUUGUGCGUUUUCUUUCUCUUUUUUUUUUUACUUUUCUUUUCUUUUCUUUUUUGACGAACUCAGAUACAAUUUAAGAUGCUAGAAAAGAAAAUUUAAAACUAAUAGCAAACAACUACGUAUGGAAGCACAAAAGCAAUCUAAUCCCUAAAUUAGCUAGAACUGAAACCCUAACUCAAUAAAUCUCAAAUUGUUGAAUAUCAACAGAAAAUUAAAGAUAAAUAUACCUUGUAGAAGCAAGCUCUGAUACCAAACUGAUGUGAAUCGUUGCGGAAGUAUCGUUCUACGAAGGCACAGAUGGUGCGAAUUGCAAACCUCGACCUCCAAUCAAACCUGUGAUUGGCAACCUCGGUAUGAACGUGACCUGUUGACGAACACGUGUCAUCCAACCAACGUUAUAGACGCCACGAGCGAAGAUUCGCUAUCUCGCUCGAUAGUCGANNNNNNNNNNNNNNNNNNNNNNNNNNNNNNNNNNNNNNNNNNNNNNNNNNNNNNNNNNNNNNNNNNNNNNNNNNNNNNNNNNNNNNNNNNNNNNNNNNNNNNNNNNNNNNNNNNNNNNNNNNNNNNNNNNNNNNNNNNNNNNNNNNNNNNNNNNNNNNNNNNNNNNAAUCUAAUGCGUUAUAUUCUAAAAUAUUCCUAUUUUAGAAUAUUCUUAAACAAUAAUAUAUAUAAAUUGACUUGGUCAAUUAUUUGGUGACAAGAUAACUAAAUUGCACCAAGAUUUUCAAGAUUCUUCUAGAUUUGAUCCAAGGUCAUCUUCACGCCAAAGAUCACGAACCAUGGCGCCAACAGCUUGCCUGAAUUGUUUGGCCCGCGCUCGAGUAAUCGAACCGGUAGGAAUAGACAAUGGGUCCCUAGCACCUCCUCCUCGAUAUGACUCGAUGUCCACAUCAUCAAGAGAUGUGUGAUUCGGAUUAAUGAUGUUGAAAUGCAUGUGGAUCUAGUGGAGUUAAAUAUUUGAGAUUUCGAUGUUAUUAUAGGGAUGUAUUGGUUAUCUACCUAUCGUGCUAUUGUUGAUUGUUUUUCAAAGAAAGUGAUAUUUAGACUUUUGAAUCAACUCAAAUUCUCUUUUUCGGAAAGUUGUCAAAACACUUCUCUAAGGUUGAUCUCGGUUUUGCAAGCGAGGAAACUUUUGAGAAAGGGUUGUUGUGGUUAUUUAGCUUGUGUAAAAGACACAAGUAAGGUUGUAGUAAAGUUGGAAGAUGUUCUUGUCGUUAGAGAGUUUCCAAGUGUGUUUCCUGAGGAUUUACCAGGCUUGCCUCUUGAUAGAGAAAUUGAGUUUUCUAUUGAAUUGAUGCCCGGUACAGCACCAAUCUCUAAGGUAUCAUAUCGGAUGGCAUCCACUGAAUUGAAAGAAUUGAAAAUGUAGCUGCAAGAGCUUUUGGAUAAGGGUUUCGUCAGACCUAGUGUUUCGCCUUGGGGAGCUCCUGUUCUAUUUGUGAAAAAGAAGGAUGGUAGUAUGCGGCUUUGCAUAGAUUAUCGAGAGCUUAACAAGGUAACAGUCAAAAACAAAUAUCUUUUGCCCUGGAUUGAGGAUUUAUUUGAUCAACUUCAGGGAGCUUAGGUAUUUUCCAAGAUUGACCUUCAUUCUGGGUAUCAUCAGUUGAAGAUAAAGAUAGAGGAUGUGCCUAAAACCGCUUUCAGAACAAGAUAUGGCCAUUAUGAAUUUCUCGUCAUGCCUAUUGGAUUAACAAAUGCACCUGUUGCCUUCAUGGACUUGAUGAACAUAGUGUUCGGGGAAUAUCUAGACAAAUUUAUUGUGGUGUUCAUUGAUGACAUCCUAGUGUAUUCGAAGAGUUUAGAGGAACACGAACAACACUUAAGGUUUGUCUUGCAGACUUUGCAUGAAAAGAAGUUGUAUGCCAAAUUUAGUAAGUGUGAUUUCUGGCUUGAUCAUAUAGAAUUCUUGGGUCAUGUGAUCUCGAAGGAUGGCAUAUUAGUGGAUCCAAAGAAGGUUGAAGCAGUUGUUAAGUGGAAUCUCCAACUAAUGUUAUAGAAGUGAGAAGUUUUCUUGGGCUAGCCAGCUACUAUAGGCAAUUUGUAGAGGGAUUCUCAAAGAUUGCCAGUCCACUUACCCGUCUAACUCAGAAGAAAAUUAAAUUUGAAUGGCCAAACCAAUGUGAACAUAGUUUUCAAGAGUUGAAGAGACGGCUGGUGUCAGCUCCUAUUCUAACUCUACCUUUUGGAAAUGGUGGCUUCAUAAUCUACUGCAAUGCAUCCAAAGAAGGUUUGGGUUGUUUUGGUUGUUUUCUUAUGCAAGAUAGCAAAGUUAUUGCCUACGCUUCUAGACAAUUGAAAUUACAUGAGAAGAACUACCCUACUCAUGAUUUGGAGUUAGCGGCGGUUGUGUUUGCCUUGAAGAUAUGGCGGCACUAUUUGUAUGGUGAAAAAUGUAAAGUCUUUACCGAUCACAAGAGUCUAAAGUAUAUCUUUACUCAGAAAGAAUUUAACAUGAGGCAAAGAAGAUGGCUAGAACUUUUGAAGGAUUAUGACUUAUUCAUUAAUUACCAUCCGGGUAAGGCUAAUGUUGUAACGGAUGCUUUGAGUCGUAAAUCCUUUGGAAAUAUGGCAGCUUUGCUCACUUCUCAGAAACCCAUUCUUGAAGAUAUGAGGAAGUUAGACUUGGAGGUGUUGGUGCAGCAACUUAGUGCUCAAUUAGCUAAUCUUCAAGUACAACCUAUGUUGAUUGACAGAAUUAAGGCUAAACAAAAUGAAGAUCCACAAUUACAAAAAAUUAGAGAAGGUGUGGAAGCUGGAAGACAAGUGGAUUUUAGUUUACACGUAGAUGGAUCCUUCAAGUUUCGUGGUCGACUAUGUGUUCCUAAGGACUUAAAGCUGAAAAAGGAGAUCUUGCAAGAAGCUCACAAUACUAGAUUUUCAAUUCAUCUGGGAAACACUAAAAUGUAUAGGGACUUGAGAGAAAACUUUUGGUGGAUCAAUAUGAAAAAUGAUAUUAUUAGAUUUGUCGAUCAAUGUUUAGUUUGCCAGCAAGUGAAAAUUGAGCAUCAGAAACCAGGUGGACAAUUGCAACCUCUAGAGAUACCUAAAUGGAAGUGGGAGCAUAUUGCCAUGGACUUUGUAGUUGGUUUACCGAGGACACCAAGUGGUAGGAAUGCUAUUUGGGUGAUUGUUGAUUGAUUGACUAAGUCCGCUCACUUUUUGUCAUAUCGAUUUGGUCUUUCAAUGGAAGAUAUGGCAAAGCGAUAUGUUAAUGAGAUAGUGAAAAUUCAUGGAGUUCUUGUAAGCAUCGUUUUUGAUAGGCAUCCUAGGUUCGUGUCUAACUUUUGGAAGAGUUUGAAAGGAGCUUCGGGCACUAAACUCAACUUGAGUACAUCUUUUCAUCCACAAACAGAUGGACAGUCAGAGAGAACGAUCCAGACAUUAGAGGAUAUGUUGAGAUCAUGCAUCAUUGACUUUGGUGGUUCUUGGGAUGAAUAUCUAUAUUUGGCAGAAUUUUCUUAUAACAAUAGUUAUCACUCCAGCAUUAAGAUGGCACCCUUUAAAGCUUUAUAUGGCCGAAAAUGCAGAAGUCCUAUUUGUUGGGACGAUGUUGGUGAGAAAAGACUAACUGGCCCUGAGUUCAUUCAACAGUUAGAAGAGAAAGUUAGUUUGGUUUGGGAAUGUCUCAAAAAAGCUCAAAGCCGUCAAAAAAGUUAUGCGGAUCUGAAAAAACGCAUGUUAGAAUUUAAUGUGGGGGAUCACGUGUUCUUAAAAGUUUCUCCUACGAAGAGUGUAAUGAGAUUUGACACACGUGGGAAGUUAAGUCCAAGGUACAUGGGACCAUUCUUGAUCUUAGAGAAAAUUGGUGAAGUCGCUUAUAAAUUGGCUUUGCCACCGGCACUAUCAAGUGUCCAUAAUGUAUUCCAUGUCUCUUUGUUAUGGAAAUAUGUGCCAAAUCCUGAACAUGUGCUAGACUUUACUCCAUUGAGAUUACGGGAGAAAUUGACAUAUGAGGAGCAGCCUAUUUGCAUUGUUGAUAAGAAGGAUUAGGUGUUACGGUGACGAACUAUUCCUUAUGUGAAAAUACAAUAGCAAAACCACACCGAGAGAGAGGCUACUUGGGAACUUGAGGAGGAGGCAAGACACAAAUACCCUCACUUGUUUCAUGAUUGAAGUACAUGUAAAUUUCAAGGACGAAUUUUUUUUAAGGAGGGUAGAAUGUAAUAUUAGGUUAGUGGAGGUUAUGACUUUUAAGCAUGUUCCUGAUGUGCCCAUGAAUAGAAGACUUCAACGAAGCUGGAACAUCCAUCCUUCUAUUUUUGAUUGAUAGAGGUUUUCUAGUUUUUGUUGUCUUUUGUUUCCUUUUGUUGUUGUUGCUCCUUUUUUCUGGGAACCAUGGCACCCUUACACUCGUUCUAGACUUUUGUCUUCUUGAGUGUCUGUUUUUGUUGGUGCCAGGCCUCCCUCUUGUCUUCUUUCUUGCAAAAUCAAUAUAUUACUUACAUUUACCAAUAUAUAUAUAUAUAUAUAUAUAUAUAUAUAUAUAUUAGGUUAGUGGGCCCCAAAAGAAGAAAAAAAAAAGAAGUUGAAAAGUCAAUAAGCAAAAAGGAGAGGGGUCGGUUAAAUAGAAGCUAAGAGGUCCCUCGACCAAAAAGAAGAAGAAGAAGAAGAAGAAUAGAAAGGGGGAGCAAGGAAAGGGGUUUUGGCACGUGCACGCCACAGAUGCCUCGCCAAGUCGACUCGACUCCAUAACGCAGCACCCGAUAAGAGAUUAGACCCCUCGUUCGUCCAAUUAAAGUAAUUUAUGGGUUUAAGAUUCAAAUUCGAAAUCGAGUGGCGAAGUCCGAUUUUGGAGUCGUUGAGCCGCGUAUUUUUGUAGGAAUGGUAGUUUAGGGUGUUGUGGAGCCGUGGAAUUUUACGGAUCGUGAUUUGAGCAUAUGGUUUAUCCGAAACAAAAGUUUUCCGCGCGUAGUGAACAGUAUGCGUUCAGCAGCUUUGGGCCCGUAUUUUGUCAUUUUUUGGCUUGAUUUUGGGACGGUCAAGUUGGGAUUCUUAUAAUAUGUGUCAAGGGCUCUCUAUUGACUAUAAGUAUGUCUAGAACGGGGUUCGGAGGAGGAAGUUAUUGCGUAACUAAGUUUUACGCUUAAACUCCGUGUCACGAAUGGCUUGAAUAAUCGUUUUGGUUAUGCGAUUUGUUAGCACGUAGAAGUCCUUUUGUUAGAGUUAAGGCGUAAUUUAGUUGUUUUGUAGUUGAGAUAGAGUUUUAUUGGAUUUUAACAUUUUUCUCGGUUAUUUGAUAGGGCCUUGAGUUCGACGAUACGAGUAUCAUUCGUCAUUUGGUCGUAGACGACGAGGUGAGUGGUACUAUAUCUCCUUUGAUUUUGUAAAAUCAUGUCUUGAAGUAUAUAUAUUGAAUCGAGAAGAGCAUUUUUAUUGCAUAAAAGCCAGAUCGAGUAAUUGCUACUCUUUGGUUGAUUGUGGAUGUUUGAAAAGCGUAUUAUACAAAGUAAAUGGAUAAAGAUAUAUGAAAUUGCUUUGCGAAUGAUUUAUGGAAAUAUUUAUGAUGAUUUGAGAAAUUGAUAUGAAAUGGAUGAUGGGCUAUGCUGCAAAUGUUAUUUGUUUGUUUAAGAUAUUGAUUUCUGGAUUGGAUUUCUAGUAUUGGAGAAUGGUUAUUUAUGCUCAAUAUGACUGUGAACCCAGUGAGGGGUUUUUGGGAUAUGCAUACCAGGUUUAGGAUAUCCUUCUGGGCCCAGCCAUCGGCUUUGUAGGUGGAGACCUUACCAAGGGGAAAUCUUGGUCACCUUGUCACAAGGUGUUGUGUCGUGACCAUGGUUAGUUAUUGAGCAAAAGAUUGGUCGAUGGAUGGACCAUCGACAUGUGUUUGAUAUGAGAUGAAUCAAUGCAUAGACCAUUGAUAUGUGUUUUUGAUGAAAAUUAUUCAAUGGAUUCGCCCAUUGAUACUUGACUUUUGAUGGCGAUUUAAAUGAGUUUUCCAUAUUAGUAUAAAGUUUUGACGGUAAAAAAUAACUCUUAUAAGAUUUGAUAUGUAUUUUAUAUAUUAAGUUGGCGUUAUGAAGUUUGGUAUUACUUUGUAUACAUGCAUAGUGAUUGAACAAUCUGCUUAGAAGAUAUGUACUACUCAUUGAGCUGUUAUUGCUCAUUCCACUCCUCCUUUAAUCUUUUCAGGUUCAUCGGUUAGCGGUGAAUAGAGCGAGAGCGCCGUCGGUGGGAAACUUUUGAGGAGUCCUAUUUUGUUUUUUUUUUUUUUUUUUUUUUUUUUGUAUGGUUUAAGGAAGUGGUGCACAUGAUCCUUGCUAGUGGUUGGAUUGUUUGAGUUCUAAAUGUAUCUCUUUUUGGUGGAUUAUAGAAACUCUGAUGUUGCAACCAAUUUGUUAGUUUAUCUGAUAUGUACAUAUAUGGUUUGAGAUAUAUAUAAGUUGAUAUCAGGUUGUUGGUUGUGUUUGAGGCUCCGUCCUUUGUGUGGAAGGAUGUCCGUGUCAUUCCUAUUCUUUGUAGUUUUGGGAUGUGAUAAGAAGUGCCAAGCAGACUUUGACUGCUACUUCCACUAUGGAGGCUGAGUUCAUUUCUUGUUUUGAGGCUACCUCACAUGGUGUGUGGUUGAAGAGUUUUAUUACUGGGCUUAGAAUUGUUGAUUUCAUUUUUAGACCAUUAAGAAUAUAUUGUGACAAUUUAGCUGCAAUUUUUAUAGCUAAAAAUGCCAAGAGUGGUAGUCGAAAUAAGCAUAUCAACAUUAAGUAUUUAGCCAUAAGGGAACAUGUUAAGGAGAAUAAAGUGGUCAUUGAACACGUUGGUACUGAACUGAUGAUAGCUAAAUUUUUAACUAAAGGCAUGCUACCAAUAAAGUAUAAGGAUCAUGUGACUAGUAUGGGAAUAGGUCCCGUUAUGUGAUUUGUCGUCAUAUUGACGAUUUUUUUUUGUAUGAAACUCUUAUUCUGUUGUAAUGUUGAUUCUCAAUUUUGGUGUACACAUUUUGUUGUUUAUGAGAAUAUUAUUUAUUAAGAUAUGUUGUCACAUAUAGGCUGACAUUAUUAAGAUAUGUUGUCACAUAUAGGCUGACAUUAAAGAAAUAAGAUGCAUUGUGAUACAUGGAAGAUAUUACUCACUCUUAGAGGACAUGUCGCCAUGAUCCAUGUAUUUUGUUUCUUUUCUUUAAGCAUAAACUUUUUCAUGGAAUUAGUUGGAUAAUUUGCAUGAUGAAAAUGAUGGGAUCAAGUGGGAGAAUGUUAUUUAUUUUUGUGAUCCCACAUUUCCGGACCCACAUUUUCUCUUUAAAGUGGCGGUUAUUCGACAUGUAGUUUUUCCACAUUUCGUACCUCUUCAUGACAACCGCCCAUUUAAUAACUGUCUUGAUGGAGGUGGUUAAUAAAAGGAACAAUUGUUCAUUUUUGACGGGUGAUCACAAGAUCUAACACAAACCCUCACAUUUGGAAUACACCAUCAGUAUGUGAGGGAAUUGGGUUAGUAGUGUGUGCCCAAUAUUUUCUUUGAUUUUUUAGGAUUUUCGACAAACGUGAAUACGAACAAUGGGUGGAGGUUACCACCGGCCGUGGUGGCUCCGCUGGAUAAGAGCUCCAGUGAUUCUUCCCCAAAAGUGAGGGGUUCAAAACCCAGUGGAGGCAUUUGGUCUCUUAAGUGUGGCGCCGGGGUGGUGGGUCCUCCGCUAGCGUCGCCCCAGGGUUUGCUCGCUGGCUACUGGCUGUACGGGGUUCCCUGGGUCAUCAAAAUAAAUAAAUAAUAAAUAAUGGCUGGAGGUUUGUCUAUAAUUGACCCUCGCUUCCGCAUUAUGAAUUAAAUCUCUUACAUAGUGAUGAUGUACGUCACUAUAGAGAAACAAAGGCAUAGAGCAAUUGCUCCGAUACCAUGAUAGAGAGGAAGUAUUUAGGAAAAAAAACUGUGUAUAGGUAUUAAGGCACAAGCCCAGAAUAAAUAGAUACAAUGAAGCAUAAUCUAGAACAUUCUAGGAAAACAAUCCCAAAAAAUAUACAAAAAGUAAUUCUAAAAUAUACAAGAUCCAUAAAAAUAUUAUCCUAACCGUAGGAUGUUCUAGCACUCCCAGCCACAUAUUAAUCUCUUUAUCAAGCAAUGGGAUUUGCACCGUUUCUUUCUUGGUCAAUUGAUUCAAUGUAGUCAAAACAAACUCCCUUGAGAUCUCCUCCCAUCGACUACCGGAGCCCGCAAUUGAGAAUUCGAGUCUAUUCUAGACCUCUACUUGAAGACCUAAGAUCGAGUUUGUGCUCUUUUCUUAAUCGUCAUUCGCUUAUCUAAUGCAUAAGGACCCAUUGCACCGAAGUUUCUGCUCCGUUGAAGUCAAGCCACAACCAACUUGGCACGACCUGCAUUUUCCAGACUUGUGUCGUUUUAGCGCGAACACAGAGAGGGAAAAAAGCACAAUGGAGAAAAUCGAAGUUCAAAGUCCGUCAAGGUAAUUGUGGCAGCCACCAACUUACAGGCGGAGAAGAUCCUACAUUUCUUCAUUGCCCAGGACGUGGAGACCUUUGCAAGGCGAUUUAGAAAUUUCUGGUAGCAAAUGACCCAAAUAACUUGUAGCGAAACUCAUCACGUCUUAUGUAUAAAAAAAAAAAAAAAAAUACAGCUAAGUAUAGAUACUUUUCAAUCUCAGUCUAAGGGCAAGAACGUUUUGUACACACAACUUAUAGAUAUACAUAGAAAAGAUGAUGAGCAAUCUGAGCAAGGCAUUCAAAUGCCGCCACUUCUGAUUGCGGAUUGGAAGCUGCCCAUCAUAACCUUCCUGAUCCAAAAGCUGAAAAGGGACAUAUAACGCGAGGCAGCAUCCUGCAUGAGACAACAGUAAUACGACAUGUUUCCAUAUUCGCUAAAACAGGCAAACUUUCCAACGAGUCGCAGUGAGAUAUAUGCAGUGUUUCCAAGUUUUGUAAGCUGGAAAGAUCAGGUAGCUCUUUUAAAGAUGGGCAGGAACUAAUAUGUAUAUGCUCCACUGAUUCUGAAUAUUCGAGACCUUGAACCUCAAUCAGCCGUGGGCAAUUAGUAAGCCCCAAAAACCAUAGCUUUCUUAAGCUUUGCAUGCGAGACAGUCUCUCAAGGAAUUGACAGUCCAAUAUAUACAAUUGGCGAAGGUCCUCCAACUGUGCAAGCACAUCCAGUUGAAUUUCUGUCAAGGAUGACCUGCAUACAUCUAUUCUGUUCAAAUAUUUGAAGGUGUGAAGGCAUGACCAUCCAUGUGUGGACUCAAGAUCAAAGAACCUCAACCCCUCAAUAUUGGGUGGAAUCCGCUCGAGAAAUUGAGAGCUGAGGCCUGGUAAUUCAAGAACACGGAGUGCGGUAAGGGUACUUAAGUCAGCAGGCAACAUGGUCAUGUCUAAAAGGUCCAAUCUCAAACUCGUCAACUUAGUUAACCUCCCAAUCCACUGCAAUUCUUGAGCUUGGCAUACGUUUGGUGGUGCAUGAGGCAUAUUAAGAGAUCUAGAACGAUCGCCAUCAGACAAAUACAGGUAUUCUAAGUUGAUUAGGUUUGACAGAUCCGGAAUCCUCUGUAAAGCUGAAGAUGAAAUGUCCAAAGAUUCCAAACUUGUCGGAAGCUGUGGCAAUUGUUGAAGCUCAUGACAACCACGCAAACCCAAAUCGUGAAGUUGAGAAAGAUGACUAAUAGUUGGUGGCACUACAGAAAUACGGGUAUUUCCUAAGCUUAGGAUUUUCAAAGAUGAUAGUGCCUCAAUUUCCAUUGGAAUUUCUCCCUCCAAAAAUCUGCAAUCGCUAGCUUCUAAAUAUUCGAGCUUCUCCAACAUCCCUAUUGCCUUAGGUAGCUUUCUCAAUUUACAACUUUCCAUGAGUAGCACCUCCAAUCUCUUAAGCUCUCCGAUCGAAUUGGGCAGCUCUAUAAUGUUUGUGCGAGAUAGAUUCAACUCGACUAGAGAUAUCAGUUUUCCAAUUGACUCUGGAAGUUUUUCCACAGAUGAAUCACUCAAAGACAACUGUUGAAGACUGGGUAUCUCUCCUAUUGAAUUUGGAAGUUCAAGGAAUUCCAAAUUUUCCAUCCUUAGUGUUGAUAGACACAUUAGAUUACCCACUGAGUCUGGCCAUGAUUGACACGCUGUGCCUGGAUUGAGCGCGGUUGGAGCUCCUUUAAGCAUCCUCAAACCAUUACACCCAUUAAUUUCCAAGUGCUUCAAAUCCUGCAGCAUGCUAAUGGAUGGGUCAAUUUCAACCAGCCUUUCACAAUCCUUCACAACGAGUCUCUCCAAAGUCAAGCACGUAGAGAAGCUAGGCGUCUUGAUUAACCUUCUACAAUUCACGAGAUACAGGACUUUUAACCUACGAUGUCCCUGUGAAAUUAUUCAUACAAGAAUGUACAAAGAUUGUCAUAUUUACUAUGGGCAAAGAAAAAGGAGUAAAUGUAAAUUGCUCAUAUUACAUAAUAUCGUACCAUGAUCUGGUUCCAUCCACCCCAAUCAUUUGUAAGGUCAGAUUCUGAAAUUUUGAGAACAACCAGAUUGCUUGGAGAGAAGUUAAUAGCUUGAAACUCCGACGGACAAUUUUGCCAAGAGAGCCAUCUUAACUCCAAAAGGAGAUUCCGGAAGUCCCCAACAAAGUUUCCUCCAUCGAAUUCAAGGAACCUUAACUUUACCAGCCCUAAAAUGUCUUCACGUGUAAUAUUGCACCCUUGAGAUUGUCCCCCUAGUUUGAGUGCCACUAUUUUUGUUGUUCCCUAGUAAAGGACAUAAUAGGUAAAUUAGGCCUCAGCUUUGGCGGACAUAAAAAGAGGCUCAUGAAUUUAAAACAAUAUCUGUUCGUCUUGUUGGUAAAAGAACGAAAAGGGGCGGUAACUAUCUCUUUGACUCACGAGCCAUAAUUACGCAAUCCACCCGUAAGUAUACGAGUCCGUUACCACAACCCAAUCAGCUUGGCAGAAAGCAAGAAAUUUCCCCACACGAGGUAGCAAAUGCCAAGACACAAAUCAGUCAAAAAUUCACUUAUAACAUGGCUGAACUAAUGAUCUGAUAGAAGAUAAAAUGAUCCCUUUUACCGAUGAGCUACCACGCUCAGUUGUAAAUUAACAUAGUACUGGCCUAUUCUAUAUUCUAAACAAUGUGAAAAAUAGAACUUUAGCCAAUACAUACCUCUUUUCUUUUUAUAACAUCCAUGGCUACGGUGGAAGACCAUAUUCUACUACGCUCUCCAGGAUGUUUGAUGCUCUCCUUGCGAACAAGUUCCCUCCCUAAAUCUCUGAGUUGGUCAUGCAUCCAAAGGUCGUCAUUCAUAAUUUUUAUUAGAGACAUUUUAACAAGAACUGAGAUGGCUUCGCUUGGAAAAAAAUCACAAGCUCUCCACAUGGAAAUUGCAUCACUUCUUUUUUCACCAGCCAUGUGACAUGCAAUGUCAAGGAAUAUUUCUUUUUGCUCAUAUUCCAACAUGUCAUAACUUACCUUCAAUAUGGCCUGAACUUCUUUGUGUGGCAUUUUCUUCAACUUGGCUAAUACAUCAUCCCAUACUUCUUCGCUCUCGUUGCAAAGUGUGGAUCCGAUAACCACGAGGGCUAGCGGAAGUCCACCAGUGACUUCCACAAUAUCUCUUGUUCUUCGAUCAUAUUGGAGGGGAGGAGUAUCGGCAUCAAAUGCAUAUCUAUUGAAAAGUCGGAGGGCAAAAAAACUAUGCAUCUCCUCCAUUUCAUAGAAGUGAUACACUUUAGGACGCAUUGAGGCAUUAGUCUUGUAAAUUUUCAAAAAACCGAUGUCCCUAGUUGUCAUUAUAAUUCUACUUCCCGGACCGAACCAAUCCCAUUUUUGUGCUAGCUUCACAAGUUGGUCCCUUCUAUCCAAAUUAUCAAGAACAAUCAAAACUUUCUUGUGGCGACAUCUUCCUCUAAUCACGUUGAUCCCAGAGUCAGUGUCAUGAACCUUUAUGGAGGGAGACUUAAAGAUGUCAGAUAAUAAUCUGUUUUGCAAUUUCACAAUUUUACCCUGUUGUGAAAAUUCUCGAACAUCUGAUAGGAAGCUGCAACCUUGGAACUGAGACGCGAUUUGGUUGAAAACAACUUUGGCAAGAGUUGUCUUACCAACUCCACUCAUUCCAUGUAUUAUGACAAAUCGUAUGUCGAGAGAAUCUUUACCUAACAAAUCCAUCACAGCUUGCACAUGAUCAUCGAUUCCAAUUAAAUCAUCGGGCACUACUCGAGCUCCUCUUGACAGUUUCCUUGAAACCUCAUCGGUAAGAAGUUUUAUAAGCUCCCCUUGGCUGCCGGACAAGAAAUUCAGAUUGAGUAACAACACAAAGAACAUCAAGUUCCGUGAUUUUUUACAUGUGGAUUUGACAUUCACAUCAGUGGCGGAAAUGGAAAAUUUUAUUUAGCAGCCAAAGAAAAUUGAGACCAAGAUAUCUAUUUUAAACACGCACAUGUAUCACAUCUUUUUACAAUGAGAAAGGAACAAAAUCACGCAAACAGAGAGAGAAGAAGAUUUGUGGCAAAACUACCAAGUCAAAAACACAACAAUCAAAGGUUAAACACCCAUGGCGUGGAACCUGGAACUCAAGAAAGACAAAUUUAUCACCGCAAAAUAACCACAGAGCAAUGCACUGUCAUCCUUGAGUUAUGCAAGCAUCCCGUUUAUGGUGUGAAAGAAGUAAUUCCUGGAAAUUUAAACCACCAAAAAGUUGAUACCGAAUUAGUCAUAACCACUACUCUUUUGUUGGAUACUCGGAAUAUGAUAUAACGUUGUCUUGCAAGCGAUGUGUUUAUUUAGUGGAAAAUCACUCAUUGAAAAUAUUAUUUCCAAAAAACAACAGUAUAGAUCACUUAGAAAGAUCAAUGGACUAAUAAUAUUUUCAUUUUAAACAACAAUUAUGCUUAGAUAUUUUCAUUGAUAAUAAUGGCAUUUUCCGUUGAUUCAUUGUCAUAUAUUAUAUUGAAAAUAAAUUUUUACAAAAAUAUUUUCUAUAUCAUCAUCACGUUUCCGCAAGGAAAAUGCGCUGUCUAAAUGAAUUCUCUCACUAAAUUUAAGUGAAAGCAUCCACAAACAGCUAAAAUGUUCUUCCCUUAAAUAUGCAACCGGCUAAAUCAGUUUGCUCUACAUUUAAUCUUGGUAAAUUUAACAAACACUCUUAGAUAUUUGAAAAACCGUACUAAUCAUAGUCCUUGACACAAUUAUCAUUCAUAGCUAAUAGCGGCAAAAGUAAGCGUAAGAGCCAGAAUUUGGCGCGGGAGGACAUCUAAGUACCAAAAGUUGUGAAGAUACACAUAAAUAUCACUUUUUAAAAAAAAAUUGGGACAUCUAAACGUUAAGUUCGGCAACCCCGGCCGGAAAUCCUAUAUGGCAAUUUUUUAUUAAUAUAAUUUGUCUACGUGGCUUGCCGAAGAGCUGAAUCCGCAAAGAAGAGCCUCUUAUUUGAAUUUUGAUGUAAAUAUUAAUUAACUAAAUUCAAAACUAAAUUAAAAAUGGGAGAUUGCAUAAUGGCGAGGGCUGUGCAGGCCCUUGCUGCUGCUGCCUCCCCACUAUUACUAGGAAAGGCUAGCGAGGAUGGGAGGAGGGUCAGCGAGGGCAUGCUGAGUGUAAGCUAAUAGCAAUACAAGAAUAUCAACUCCAGCAAAUCAGAAAUCAUUUUUUUUUCCUUUCCGUUUUAUAAGUCCCAUCAAUUACACUCUAACCCCAUUAACACAGAGUGUCGUCAUCCUCAAGAUCUGAUAAACAUCGAGCCUCAAAAAAAAAAAAAAAAAUUCGAUGCUUCGGAGAAUCACUUCAGAAACAAUACUCCGACAUCACUUCGUAACACCUCAUAGAGAGGGGGUCUAGAAUGUUAAUUAACUACAAUUUACCAGAAAAUGAACAUAAAAAUUUUAAAAGAUUUCUUAUCCUCGGAUCACAUAAGAUUUAUUCAUUGCAUCCAAAAAACAAAAAAAAGAAGGGAAAAUCAGUAAGAAAUCGGCAAAUCUGAGUUUUUUUUGGUCGAUGGCAGAUCUGAGUUGAUCACCCGAACAAGUAACCACUGAAGCAAAUCACACCAAUUACAGCAAAAUCCAUUAGGAUAACCUCACUUUAAUCAGCAAUUUCCUUCAAACACAUGCAUCUUGCAGUCAUACACUAAUCUAAAUACGAGGGUUUGUCACAGUACUUUCGAAACUCAACUAAAAAGCCAAUAAUCUUUGUUUGUCGCGCUGGGGUAUUGUAUUCAUAGGCGUGAAAAAGGAGUGAAGAAAAGCCUCAAAACUCUCUUACCCCCUAUCUUUGCAGUGCCAUCCUUUGACCGAAGCGACCUCUCUUAGGGCCUCUGUCCAGCGUUGCACUUCAUCGGAGCUGAACCUGUCCUCAUGCCUUUUCAAGGCAUCAACGUAUAAUUCAGUUCUGAGCUUAACAUCGUUAGGAUCAACGUCGAAGAAUAUGGGAAGAAUCACUUUGUCCAUCGAUCUUCUCAAGCAAUCCACCAUAUGAGCAAGUUCGCGAAGACACCAUGCACUAGAUGCAUAGUUUUUGGAGAAGAUGGGGAUGUAAAUUCUGGAGACGUUGAUCGCGUGUAGAAGCUCGCCUCCAAUCUGUUCACCUUUUCGGAUCUCUGCAUCGUCUAAGAAGACGCGAAUCCCAGCUCCAUUCAAGGAGUGAUAGAGGAAAUCAGUCAAAUUGAGGCGAGUGUCCGGUCCUCUGAAAUUCAAGAACACAUCAAAUUCAGCUCCCUGUGGCUCGCUACCUCCACCCGUGGAAGAAGAUGUGGCUGUAUCCGAGUCUUUUUUUCUCUUCUUCGUCACCAACGCCAUGUUCUGAGUUGAAUUACUUCUGGUGUGUGCGAUUCCGGGAGAGGACGUCGAUUGUGAAAGAGCUAAAGAGUGUAGCAAAUCACAGUUGCGUUUCUUUUAUGAGGGUUUUCUAUUUCAUUUUUUUUGGCAGUAUUGCAUUUCCCACAGGAAAUGAUACCAAUCACGCGUGCUAACAGCACCUCAGAUAAAUAAUUCGGAUCUUGGGGGGACCAAGCAUCGCGACUUUUUAAAAAAAGUUUCAGAAAGGAAAAGCUGUUUCAAAAGACGUCAUCGCACGUUCACAGCCUAAGGUGAGUUGACCUGCAAGAUUGUCUGUGCCCUAUAACACGCCAUCACACCUUCACAGCCUUCUCGUUUAAGCUUGUAAGUGAUAAACUCUCUCGUGUACGGUGGUCCAGCUAACUCUACGCGUGUCUGUGCGUAUUUAACACGAUCAAUAAAUCACUUGAAUUCACAGUCUAAACCACUAAUUACGUAGAUUUCAUGAUGAAGUCUACAUAACUUAAUGAUUUAAAUGACUGUGCUCUAUAAAAUAGUUAUCAUGUCCUUAUUAUUUUAACAUAGAUUUAGCCUAAAUGAAGCGACAUCAAAUCAAUGUGGUCCCAUACAAGACCCGUCAAAUUUUAAGGGCAAAAGAUGCAUCGCAAGCUAAAGAAACCCAAUUCACACUGCCGAAUAAGUUCAAUCGGAUGGAAUGACUUGGAUCCCCUUGGUCUACCGAAAUCUAGCAUAUGGUCAAAAUCCGAACAAGAUUAUCAGAUUUUUCGUUCUUUAUCCUCGAACAGAUUUUGCAGAUUUCGUUUUUAUUUUCUGAGCAGAACAAAUAAAGAGAUUUCGUUCGGGUCACGUUAAUCAAACUCAAAGACCGAUCUCCCUCUUCUCUAGCCCUUGUGUCUUAUUUCUUUAUCAUCCAUGUGCCGAGGGAGAGUUUGAAUAUUUUAUUGGGCAAGACUUUCUUCUUCUUCUUUUUUCGAAUGGAGCUUGGAUUUCCAGCUUGUGCAAAUCUUUUGUUCCGACAGAGGUUGGGUGGUGUCUAGUUCAGCUCUUCGUAAAUCUCAAACUAGUCCAGUGCAUGUUUUCCCGUAUCAUCCUGAUUCAUUCAAGAUUCUACCUUUAAAGUGCUCCCAAUAAAUUUGUACUUGCGACUAUUGAAAGAGGAUAAAAUUCCCUUGCCGACUUUAAGGUUACUCAAUAGUUUUUCGUGGACACAUAACUAAAAUUUUUAUAACAUGACCCUCUGGGCCUAAAAAUAUUUAGUUAGGUGUGGGGAGACUUUCCAACUUGGAUAUCGAGGAUGAAUUGUAUAAAUCGCAGCAAUCGUACACAAAGUUUUUUCAAUUGCCCACUUGUAUAGAUUAAAUGCCCAGACUUAAUUAAUACAAUAUAUAUAAUGCAUUCCAUGUGUGUAGACAGUAGAGUGCCUGCUUUCAUGUUUUGAGAUUAUAAAGAAAAAAUGUAUUAUUAUAAUAUAUCUAAAAGUUGGUCACAACCUCAAGAUUAAAUACCAUUUUGGUGUAACAUGCUGAGCUUGAUAUAUCAUCUAAAACUUUCUUUUUAUCGAUCGUCCUUCUCCUAUUUUGUAAACUUUCAAAAAAUUGGGUCUCUAUAAUUUAAUUUAAAUAUUAAGAAAUCAUUGUAAUUUGCUUUUUUUUUUUUUUUUUUGGUAAGAAAUUACAAGCAAUGCGAGGCAGAAAGUAGAAACUAAGCUGGGUGGGAAACGACAAAGUCAAAAGCACUAGAGAAGAAGGGAGGAGCGCCACAAUGUACGCAUCGGAAGCAUCGAAGAGGCGCCGACGCCAAUGCCCUUUUCUAACUUUUUUUUUUCUUUUUGUCCUUUUAUAUAUGCUUUUUUUUCUUUUGCGUGCAAAGGAAUAACGCAAUAUGACCGAUCCAAAACUAAGGUCAACGGUCAAUGCACUGAAAAAUGUUCGCUCUUUAUCGGCCGGGGCAACAGAAAAUGCGAUUCACAUUAUCCUUUUUUUUAAAAAGGAGAGAGAGAAAUUCUCUCCUUUUUGCUAUUUAAUUUCCUCGCGAUCUUAUCGAAAGGAAACCCUAAAAAUUUAUUAUACGAAUUCUUUUUAGAAAUCGUCGCAAGAACCGUGUCGUUUGAUCUACUUAUGUCGUUUUUCUAAUGCAAUUAUAUAUUUUAGAUUGAGCCAAGCAACUCCAAUCGACUUCAAGUGGUGGGAAUCAGAAUCUUUAUUUGGUGAAACUGGAGCCCUUUGGAAGAGGAAGAGAAUAAUGUCGUCCUCCGCAAAAAAAAAAAAAAAAGCUUUUGGCGUCCUACUAACUCUGGAAGGCGACAAGAAAAAAAGCAGGCAUGAUAGUCCCAAUCACACCUACGCUGUCUUUUACUGUCGACUACUGGUCCUGGGCACGUUCCGCGAGUUACAAACCCGCAACGAUCCAUCCGAAUGGACCAGACAACCGCGAUUCGGAUUAUGUGGUCACUGCUGCGCGGCUUUAUCUCGGGACGACGCGAUGCAAAGAAACCGAUCGAAGGGGCCACAGGAGCGAGCGCGACGUGUUGUGAAGUUCUUUCUGCCUCCCCUCUCCAAUACCUCUCUCUCUCUCUCUCUCUCUCUCUCUCUCUCGGACUUGGCCCUUUUUCGAAUUUCUUCUUUUUGGCUUUUGCUACCAUUUUGGAAAUUUUGAGCAGAUUUUUGAUAAUGAAGUUUGAGCUGAGAUUGGUCAGGCUUGUGUGAGUUAGUGCGAUUGGGGAUGGACCGGUAAAAUUGAUUUUUAAGACGUACCGGCCAGACCCACGUUAGCUAUUUUGCUUCUUAUUUUGUUCGCCUAUAUUUGAUAUUCGGAUUAUGUAGAUUUCUAGUGUCUAAAACUUUUUGUUAAAGGGAAUUACAUGGAGUCCCGCGAAUAUUAUAAAGACAGUAAAAUGAAAGAGGGAAAAAGUCACAAAAAAUCUCAAACAAUAUCUAUUAUGAUACAUUUACCUUUUUUUUUAAUGAUGCAAAAAUCUCAGACUUAUACUUGUGUGACAUAUGUACUCUUCAUCAAGGUUUCGUCAAUUAAUACUAUUGAAAAUUUUGCUUACAUAGAUACUGAAAAGUAAACGGUAUUGCUAUGGCGCCCACAUGAAAUGAUGUUGUUUUAGCUAAAAAAACCAUCCGAAAGAACAUUCAUAGAGAAGGGUAAAUGUGUUACAUAAAUAUGAGUUCGAGGGUUUUUUUUUAUGACAUAAAUGUGUCAUAUAGAUACGAUUUUGUGGUUUUUUAUUUUUAAUGUUAUAAGAAAAAUUUUAGAAACUUGAUAUAAUUUGGAGUUUUUUAUAUCAUAAAAAAAAGUUUAAAGUAAUUAUAUUAUAAAAUGGUGUAGUUUAGGAAAAUCUCAGGCAACAUGGUUGGUGCGGGGGCAAGUUGGUGACAUACCAUUUAGGAAAAUCUCACGCAACAUGGUUGGUGCGGGGGCCAAGUUGGUGAUGGCCCAUUGUCCAACGCUGCCAUCCGCAUUUCGCGGUUUGUCAUUUUGGGGUUUCUUCGUUUCUUUUGGAUUGGGGUUGACUCAUAAUGCAAUGCAUCGCAUCGCUUCCCGCAAGAGAAUUCACUUUUUUUGCUCCAAAAUUUCAUUUCGCAAUUCCAUCUUUUCACCUAGUUACGUGCAAAUCGAUGUUUGAGAAUGCAAUUCUUCGACCCAAAUGAUUCAUUUAGUGUCGUGAUGCGUCAAACUAUAAAUGUUUCUUCUCAAAGUCCAUUCCAUUAAUGGGUCAAAUCGAUUUUUUUGUGAAUUGGCUGUCCGAUUCCUCCUAGAUAGGCUAUAGAAACACUUUUAGUUAGUAUCUUUGGAAAAGCUUUUGAUAUCUAAUAGCCCUUCCAAAGUGGGGGAAAAGCUCUUACAAAGGCGAAUUCUUAUUCAAUUUGCUCUCAAGCUUUGAGGUGGAGAGCGAUAUCGGGCAUAUUAAAAUCAGCUCACUAAAUUGAUGUGGUAAAUGUCAUGAUAAAUCGUAAUUGGACCUUUUAAUAAUAAAUGGACUGUAUUUUAUGUUGAAAAUAAUUUGGUCGCACAGCUUAACAUUAAAAAUUUGAUCACAUCACUUGUCAUUAAAAAUUUAAUAAAUCGCUAUCAUCGCACCAAAAAAAAAUUUCUCAACCAUAGAAUGUCUGAACCUGGACCAUCGAAAGUGAUGUGACUCGUGAAUUUCAAAUGAAGCUGGAUCAAUCAGAUUUGACGUUUCAUAUACAUAUUUUUUUGGUAUUAAUAUAGGUUGAUUAAGUCGGUGUAUUUAUGAAAGUUUAAGGGGGACAAAAAUGAGACAAAAACAAGCGACCAACGUGCUAUGCAAGAAGGGUUUACCUGUACAGCCCCAGCAAGUUCUGCUUUCCAGAUUGAAGUCCAAGCCUUGAAUAUCGCGCUGCGACAUCUUCUGCGGAUCGGGAAGGCUGAUGCGCCCACUAUCAUCGAGACGGACUGUCUCCAGGUGGUUGAUGCUGUCCACGACCCUCAGAAGACGCCAUGGGAGAGCCGUUCGCUGCUUGCAGAAACAACGGCCUUGCUCCCCUGUUUUUCUCAUCUUCUCAUUAGGUUUACAAGAAGGGAUACGAAUGCACCAGCAGACUGGGCUGCCAAGGCCCAUUCUCGCGGGUCCCUCUCUUUUGUUGAAGUCUUUCCCCCUCCCCCAGCUUUGUUUAAUUUACUGCUUACGGACGCUGUUAAAGCAGGUUGUUUUUUCAGCGUUACUUAAAUGAAAUGGCUCUUUCCGAUCAAAAAAAAAAAAAAAAAAAACUUCAAUGUCAUUGUCUUGUCUUGCAUCGAGAGGUGAACCUGCAACGCUAGGUGACGAUGGACUUGCGUGGUCGUCGGCGGAGAUUCAGAGGGAGGCAACGGGCUCGACUCGAUUGUGGAAUAAUCAAUGGCUGGAUUUUUCUUUCUAUUUUUUUGUUUGCCCUUUCUUUGUUGUUUUUUGGAAGUGGUAAUUGGAUAAUUCCGGUCUCGUACUUCAUCGAUGAGGUGGGCGAAAUAUUUCAGUAGCGUUUCAGCCUUUAACCUUUUUCAAUUUUGAAAUAAUUAUUACGAUGAUCCUAAACUUAUUGAAUUUGAACUUACUUAUUUAAUAAAUCUAAUCCAAAAUCAUUUGAUGAUUUAGUCGAUGUAGUAAUUCUGACCAAAAUAAUGUAGUCAUUUUAGCCAAUUUUAAUUGGAAAUCAUCAAAGUAGAUGUUGGUCAUUGUACGUGUUACGAUCAAUAUUGAUAUUUACAUGUUUUUGAAUCUUUUCCUUUUCUUUUUUAUAAAAAUGAAAAGUUUAAUCACUUUAACAUUGGUCAAGCCAUAUAAAAUGACCGGUCUCAAAGAUUUGCUAUCAAAAUUAGCCGAAAGGGCUACAUGACUAAAUUGGUGGAAUUAAAAAAAAAGUUGAGACUAAAUUGGCAUUUGUAUAAUACAUUUAGGAGUUUUGUCAAUAAUUCUCCCGGAACUCAUAUAGGGUGAGGAUUCAUUUGAUAAGUAGAAUGACAGCGAAAACACCAAACAGAAUACUCCUCAUGAAAAGAAAAUUGUCAUUAAGGUAUGAGUUGGGGCAGGUUGUUAUAUGGCUUUAAGACAUGAUCUGAUCGAAGAUACUUGCCAACUUGGGAUCUAACUUGGUGGUUUGAGCCAAGUUAUGUGUACCGUGAAGCAAAGAAGCGAGCAAAUUGGCUUGCCAACUGGGAAAUCGUUGAAUUAGAAGAUGCCUUAGCUUUCGUUUCGAUCUCCUUUUGGAUUGACUAUAUUUCUUUUGGGAGAUAAAAUUGGACAUUUUAAUGUUAGGAUGAGGUUCAAAAUUUGAUGUCGGGGGCAGUAAGCCCUAUUCUUUCAUUAUGCCAAAAAGAAAGCCGACAACAUUUGUAUUCUUAACAUAGGCUAAGAUGCUAUAUUGCACGCUUGAAAAACAAGGGCAAAUUCCUCCCUAACUUAUAAACUUUAACGCUAGUGACACGAACUUGGGAAAAGUGCCAAAAAAGUCUUAAACCUUUUGUUUUUUGUGCCAAUUUAAUCUUAAACCUUUUUUUUUGUGCCAAUUCAGUUCUAAAUCUUUUUACGUUGUGUCAAUUCAAUCAUUUCCAGCCAAUUUUGGCCGGAUUUUGCUGAUUGGACGCCAGCCGACUAACAUGGUUUGAUCGACACUGACGUGGACAAUUUUUAAUAAUAUUUUAAUAUUUUUUUUAUUUUUUUAUUUUUGUCUUUUUCCUCCAGCCGGUAGCCGGUCGCCGAAGUCCGGCGACCGGCCAGAGGCGAUGGCCAACAAGGGCAAGCCUUGCCCAUGGCUAGCGAGGGCCGGCGAGGGCAAGGCUCGCCCAUGGCUGGCGGGGGUUGGCGAGGGUGGCCAACGAGGUCGGCCUUGCCCUCGCCAGUCUUCGCCUCUAGCCGGUCGCUAGACCUCGGCGACCCGGCUAGAGGAAAAAGACAAAAAUUUAAAAUUUAAAAUAAAAAAUAUUAAAAUAUUAUUAAAAGUUGUUUAUGUCAGCGCCGAUUAGGCCACGUCAACCGGCCGGUAUCCAGUCAGCAAAAUCCGGUCAAAAUUGACCGGAAAUGAUUGAAUUGGCACAACAUAAAAAAAGUUUAGGACUGAAUCAACACCAAAAAAUGUUUAGGACUAAAUCGGCACAAAAGCAAAAAGUUUAGAACUUUUUUGGUACUUUUCCCCACGAACUCCUAAAUUUUCAGACGCGUGACCAAAAUCUUUCCAUUUGUGCCACUUACCCAAAAACACCUUCCAUUAGAAUUAUCGUAGUAAUGGCCAUUUAAAAUCUGAUUCGUCAUGUGGAUAAUUUGUGGCCAAUAGAUGUGUCGUGGCCUGUUGAUAGCCCACCUUCUCCUUAAAACGACGAUGUUAAGGGGAUACCACGUCCUAUCUAGCACACAUGAUGUUGGAGAAAUUUGGGGCAAAGUUAAAAACGACGCAAUUGGAAGGUGUCUCCUCAGAUUUGGAGGCAAUAUCUCCAAAAUUAAGUUUUUGACUAUUAAAAAUUCCAAACUGAUACAUUUAUAACAAGUUUAUAAUCAAUCGAGAGCAUUCUAGCAUGAAUCACUUGUUGUUAGUUUAUGUGGCAUUACCAUGUUCACAAACUCAUUAUUUCUGAAUCGAAAACCAUCAAAUGUGAGUUCUAUCCAAAUCUCGGUUUUCACCGGUUAGCGUUGGUCUCUCUGCUUCCGGUACAUGUUGAUCCGGUGAGCGAUUCUUGACCUGUAAUUUUGAAAUAGUAAGUUGGACACUUAGACUUGGGUGUUAACUGACCUUCGUUUCGCUAAGAUUAUUCAUUGUCCAAUGCAUCGCGUGAGCAUUGCCGACAUUUCCAGUGCAUCGUAUGAGUAUGCUGAUGUAUCUGUUGCAGUAAUGGGUCGCCGAUCGAUCAGGGCCACUGCGAUUGUAGUGGUGAGGCCAUUUUGAUCGUCGCUGAAGGGUUUAUGAACUCAACAGGAAAAAAAUCGUGCAUUUCAAUGGAAGAACUUAAUUUAAUCAAAUUGACAAAUUUUAAAACUUAAUUGUACUUUUUGAAAGUUUUAUGACCUAAUUACAUUUCGUAACAAGUUUUAUAACUUAAUUACAAUUUUUGAAAGUUUUAGAACCCAAUUGUACUUUUGUGAUAAGUUUUAGAAUUUCCAAUGUACUAUCUUAUUUUAAAUUGUUCUCUAGACCUCUGUCCUCUCUAAACGUGAAUUUGCUCAGAAAGACUAAUAUUAGUUGGAAACAUAUCUGGACUUGCUGAUUCUUACAUUCAUCCAACCCUGGUUGAUGCAAAGAUCGUGAAGAGAGUUGAGUCAUCUUAAGGGUUCAUUUGUACACACGUCUACGAAUUAUUAUUCAAAAGAAUGAUUGGAACAUGCCAAGUCGCAACUGCUUGUUGAUAGUAGCUGGUGCACUCGUUGGGAGUGUAGAUCACGUUCUUUUCUGAUCGUGUGCUCUUGAACAUGCCUUCUUUAUGAGCGAAUGUACUGAGGUUUGAAAACAAAUAAGAAUGCCGGACGUCAUUGUACAGACUUGCUUUGUUCUAAUCGCAAUUGUUAACUUUCUGCUAUCUCAGCAUGAAUGUUACGAACUUCAUAGAUUUGUUUCAUUUUGGUCAUUUGGGGCCUAUUUGGUAACCAUCCCAAUGGUCUUAGAUUCGAAUUUUUUGUUUCCAAAAGUAGUUUUGGAACAAAAUCAUGUUUGGUAAAAUUUUUAUUCCUGAGAAUAAAUUUCUAAUAUUUUCUUCAAGGAAGUAGAUUUGGAACGAAAUCGAGAAUAAAAAAAAAAUUGAUUCUUGUUCCUAGGAAUAAAUUCAAUAAUCAAGCCAUUUUCUUCUUCUUCAUCUACCGCUACCACUGCGAUUGCCGUCCGCCGUUCAUUGCCAACCGCCGCCAGUCACCAGCAAUCGAUUCAGCGAGCUCGCCGAAGGCUCGCCAAGCCAAGGUGAGGUUUGGUGAGCUUGCCGGAGGCAAGUGUAGCUGUCAGCGAGGCCCAACUGGCCACCGGCGAGGCCAAACCUUGGUGGGACUGGGUGAGCCUCACUGGUGGCCAAGCGGGCCUCGCCCAAACCAGACGAGGCUAGCCUAGCCACCGGCGAGGCUCGGCCGACGAGGGCCGGCGACGCUCUGGUGAGGUCGCCAGCCCUCGGCGACUGGCCACUUGAAGAAGAGAGAAAGGACAAAAAGAAAAGAAAAGAAGGAUGAUGAAAGAAUGAGUGAAAGAAAAGUAAUAAAGAAAGAGAGAUUUGUAACUGGUUUUAAUGAAAUAUUCACAGGUUUAACUAUCGGUUCAAUACAGAACAGGAUAACCAGAGUUUAACUUUAUUUAUUCAACUAUUAGCAGAAAUAUGCCGCCGCAGGAAGAUUACUCUCAAGUCUUCUCCUACAUGGCACCUUUGUCCCGUAUGUAGCUGUCGAGAACAAGAACGUCUUCCCCUAACCCAAGAUCUCGAGGAAAUUCUGCAUUAAAGAUGAAAAUAAUAAUCGUCGAAAUGAGUUGUCAUUGUCAAUCGCUAUAUCAAAACUAAACUGAGCAACCAAAUCUGGAGCUAGGACCAGCCACCAAAUCAACUAACCAUAUCAAGCAUAUCUGCAAACAAAUCAAGUAAAUCUGAUAACAUAGCCUUGGCAACGGGAUUACAGUUUUUCCGAUAGCACUCUCCUUUGACUGUGAAGAUACUGUUACUGCAUAAUUUGUUCGCUUUAGCCCCGAUGGUGCUGAGGGCUAUAGGCCGACCCUGCUCAGAAGCAGGAUGGGGAGUACUUGAAUUAAGGCUUUGAAUGUCAUGUGUUGAAAUCUGGCUAUGCAAUGGCUGAGGGUGAGUCGUGGCGGAAAGAUAGUGUCUUGCAGCUGUAACUUCUUCCAGGAUUUGCAUAUUUGAAGGUGUUCGAGACAUCUGCAUGAUGAGUGAGUUGUCACUUUGUUUAGGAAGAACUGGGGGUGUCAUUCCUUGGUGAGGUAAACCCAACGGAUGGCGCAGGAGCAUACGGCAGGCAUUGAGCUGAUUCAUUCACCUGCUGUUGGCGACCGUAGUUCUGGAAAGGCGAGUUCGGUUGCUGGAACAUCGUGAGCAGUUGUAAUUGGAGCCCCAUUUGGUACCUUGGGAUAUGACCUGGGAACUUAACGAGAUCAGGCAUCCUCAUGCUACGACCUGUGCACUGCUGUUGAGGCGCGAUAUUCAUAGCUUGUGAUGGAUAUUGAGCUGAAGAAUGUGCACUUUGCAGCACCAAGGCAUCACCCUAUCUUCUUGGAGUUCGUGCGAUAUUUCUGCACAAUCAAAAAGCUUGAUUCAAUAAACAUUUCUUGCAGGAGUUCAAGGGAUAAAUACAAUAGUAAAGGCGCUCUUAUGUUUUGUUUUGCCUUUUUUUUUCCCCAAUUUGCUCUUGAUCUUUGUAAAUGAAAUAGAACUAGGGGCUCUUACCAGAAGGUGGCUGGAGACGUUUUGCCUAGGAGACGAGGGACGCCCGUCAUUUUCCUAAUAAUUUGCAAUAUCUUCUUGGGUUUGGCAUCUGCAUUGCGUGUCAUGUAAAAACAUGUCAGUCAGGCGAACCAUUGUCUCACUCAAAAAGGAAAUGAGUUCAUGCACACAUCACGUACCGUCGAUUCAAAGACGAUUGACGGCCAUGAUAGACAUUUGGUUGAGCUUAAAUGUCCAUGCAACGCGGGGCCACUUCCCCCGCUUUUGUUCUUGCCAUGAUCAGCUUCACUAUUUCAAGCUUUUAGAAUUCAAAAAUGGGUUUUAUAAAAGAUGUCGGGCUAAACCUGGUCCGUAACUCCAUAAAGCAGUUGUUUUUUGUAUAAAAAGAAACUGCAAUAUAAAAAAAAACGUUCAAAGAAAUAUAACGUUUUGCAAGUUUGUAUUUUGUGGAUUCUCUCUCAAGUACAAAAACUCUCUUUCUUAAGAAGUGAAAGAGGCUUCAAUCGACGAUCAAAGGAUCGAUCCCUCUCACGACUGCAACGGCAUUUAAUCCAUGAAAAACAUGGUACAUCCGUCUAGAUGACAUGCUUUAUGAUCGGUGAUAUAAGGAUCCUUGGGUACGUUUCUGCAUUUGUAUUUUAUUGUUACUCAAUAGUUCAAGUAUUUAUUUUUAUUAGGAAUCCGUUUCCUACAUUGGUAUCAGAGCAUAGUGUUGUUGUUUGCCGAUCGUUGUUGUUGUUUAUAAAUAGAUUUAUGGCUGAAAUUCGUGAAACAAUGCUGACGAACACUCAGGAGCGAAAAAUCCGACACCUGGCCAUUCUAUUCGACGCCCUUCCUCAAAGUUUUAUGUGACAAAAUUUAUUUUUGAAAGUACAGAGUUGAAGUUCUCAUUAAGAUGAGAAAAUCAACGGGUGGCACGUUGCCGAGGGAGGUUGGACACGCCUCCAUGCGUGGCCGAAAGAGGUUGGGGUCGUCAACAUGUGCACGGCAUGCGCGAGGGACUCCCUAGGCACAUGCUUGGCAUGCACACAGCAACUAUUGGCGUGUGUACACCACGUGCCUGCCUCUACAAUUACAGUUUUAUCCCUCACUUUUCGCAAAAUUAUAGUUUUGCCCCUAUCAACAUUUGUUUACGAUUAUGUCCUUUUUUCAUUGAUGUUACCGUUUUGCCCCUCGGCUGACCCAACCCGACUGACCCACUUGACCUGACUGAGUCAUUCGUUGAUUGUUGAUCAGUAUUGACCACCAUUGAUUGUUGAUAGGAAAAAAAAAAUGAAAUGAUGAUGAAUUGCAUUAAUGAUUAUGUAUAAUCCAUUUUUUGUUUUGCAUUUGUUGCAGAAACAAAGAUGCAUUUUGUGUACACGCCUAUAUUCAUAAGAAUGGAUCACAGAAUGUGGCACUUAAAGGAUUAAGAGCAUAAUUAUGUAAUUAUGGGUAGAAGGAGAAUGAUAUAUUAAUGUUUGUCAGAAGGUGAGACUUAAAGGGUUAAGAGUGGAAUUAUGUAAUUACGGGUAGAAGGACAAUGAUAUAUUGACGUUUGUGGUCAGUGUCAACAAGAUAAUACAAGGAAUCAUUUGAAAUAGUUACCUUAUAUCGAAUUGUGAGAAGGUGUUAACCCUAAUGAACACCCUUCCAUCUGAAUGGCAAGCAAUGUUAGAUAGCCAAUGGGAGGACGUGAUUUCAGCUUAUAAAAAACUUGCAAUAGAGUUUUUGAUGUAAUACUAUAGAAUUGAGAUAACGAAAACUUCAAUCCUCGGGUUGAAUAUAACUUGGCAUCGAAAGAAUGCGCCUUGAAAGAGUUAAGGAAUCUCUUAGGGUCUUUUCGUGAUUACCCAAUAUGACCUUAGAAUUUUCAGAGAAAUUUUCUAAGAAAUUUGAAAUAUCUUUCCCUAUUUAUGAGAUAAUUGAGUUUCGUUGAAUUUAUUUUUUCCAUGUUAAUGUUGAAGACGAUCAAGAAACAAGAUGAUGCUCUAAUACCAAUAUUGAAAAUGGAUUCCUAAUAAAAAUGGAUAUUUUUAACUAUCGAGUAAUACUAAAACACAAAUGUGGAAACAUCCUCGAAGAUUCUUGUAACACCGAUCAUAGAGCACAUCAUCAAGACAGACAUACAUUGUUUUUCAUGGAUUCAACACUACUGCAGUCUCAAGAGGGAUCAAUCCUUCAAUCGUCAAUUGAAACCUUAAGUUCUUUUACUUGAGAGAGAGAAUCCACAAAAUACUAACUUGCAAAACAUUAUCUUUCUUUUUAACGUUCUUUUAUAUUGUAAUUUCUUUUACACAAAAAAUAAUUGCUUUUUUAGAGUUAAGGGCCGGGUUUGGCCCAACAUUUUUUUUUUUUUUUUUUUUUUAUAAAACCCAUCAACUUCCUCAUCCUCUACCAAGUAUGGGUGUUGUUAGACAAAGAUGUGAUCAAAGCAUACCACCUUUCCAAUUCUUUAGUACAAUUGUUGCAUGAUGAUCGGUUGCUCCGAAGCACAUGUUGCCACAAAAUCUUAAGAGUGGAAAUUUGAAUGGGCUUUACUAGAAAAUUGCAAGCCCUACUGUUCACUCCCAUCACAACAAUGUCGCUUUUAGCAUCACUGGAAAAUGCUGUCAAAUUUAAACAAGAGAAAAUUAAUAUAUCACAUUAAUUCCACAAAUUUAUGAAUCUAGCUUGAAUUAAUUGACAUAUUAAGAACUUACUAACUAUAGGCAUGGUUAUCCCCAUGGUAGUGAUCCUAGUGAGAAGCUGAAAUCUAUGCAUGCUAGGUUGGAAGAUUCGUUGGGACAAUGUCAAACCCACCCUUAUUCUCUCGAAUUAUCGACAAUGCAUCCUCUCCUUGUUGGCACCUUGUCACUUUAAAAACACACAUUAUACAUAUCAUAUAUGCAAACGAGAAUCAUCUAGCAAAGUUGCAUACUAAGAAGCACUGACAUUCUCUAGGAGUUUUCGUAUUGUGUUCAACACUUCGACAUGUGUCUGACACAUUGUCAACGAAUGUCGAAAAAUCCAACACGUGUUCAACUCUCCCCGACAUGCUUCGACACGUGAGUUCAGAAUUCCGACACAUAAUUUCAAUAUGCACAGGAUCAAUUUUAAAAAUUUUCAACACUUGAGGAACAAAAUCUAAAUAUAUGAAAAAUAGAAAAAAGAAAAAAAAAUGGGUAGCGAUUGUGGCUGGGAGCCGUUGUUGCUGUAUCCAUCGGAGUGGGCCAGUGAUAGUGGAGGGGGGGCAGCCCUUGCCAAUCUAGGUGAGGCGAUCGCCGGCCAGGCAAGGGCCGAUGAGGUCCCUUAGAUUUGGGUGACGCCAUGCCCUUGUGCAAUGACAGCCCUCGCCUGUGGCCGGCGGGGCUCCCCAACCCCCUUCGCCACCUAUUUUUAUGAACAAACGGAUGGCAGUGGUGCAGCUCCAAAUUUCGCAACCCGAAAUUCCACAACAUAAAAAGAAUCGACUGAAAAAACAAGAUUGAGAAAUUUAGCCAAGGUGGGUCCUGGGUAGGGAAAAGCGAGCGCUUGAAUGACCUGAGAGAGGGUCGGUGGAGUCCCAGCUUGGUGUGCGGAGAGACUGCCAUUACUGUCGCAAAUGGGAAGAGAGAGAGAGAGAGAGAGAGGCGCUGUCCUAUUUCUAGGUCAAGAAGAUGAAGCGAGAAGAAUCGAUGAGAGAAUAAUCCUCGGAAAAUGUUGCGCCUUGUUUUUUUUCUUCUCCUCCUCCUCCUCCUUUUUUCUUCAGGGGAACAAUUCGGUUUUUAUUCCUCUUUUGCUCUUUGUCUGAAUAGUUUCUUACUUUUUCUUUUUUGUGAUUUCAAAUAGACGCAUUUUGAUUUUUGUUGCUCGGCAAUAUCUGAAAUUUUCAUAAUUAUAACUUGGAUGUCAUAUAUUUUUAUAUAAUUUCCCAUAAUUUAUGGAAUUUAGGUAUGAUUAUAACGUUCGAGAAAUAACUUUUGAUUUUCACUUAAGCAUAAAAUGAAUUCGUACAUUUUAUGACAUGCGUCCAUUUGCCUACAAAGGCUAAAUUCCUUAUUUGUAGUGCGAUUUUCAGCAUGGAUUAUAUAGGCAAUAGAGACACAUGAUUUUAAUAGUAGAAUGUAGAUUUUUUUUUCCUUCAAAUUUUAUUGAUUAUUGUAAUGGAAUGUAAUUGAAUUUGUCAAAUUAAAAUAAUGAAUAAUAUUAACAAAUAUUGCAUUAAUGUUUUUACUGUAAAUUAAUUCUGGGUUCUUUUUAUUAUUAUUUGUUUAUUUGUGCAUUUAUAUAUAAAAAUAUAUUUAAUAUAUAAUAUGUCGGAAUUCUUGAUUUUUUUAGAAAUGACGUGUUAGCAUGUUAUGUCGCAUGUCCAUGUCGGUACUACAUAGCCUGUAUAUGGACUUUGUGUUAUGACUCAUGCAGCAAAUGAUAUCAUUUUCUUUGAAGUUCCUUGCAAUAGAUUGCUCAAGCGCUUCUUCAUACUGCUUGGUCAAAGUAACUCAUCCACCAUAUCCUUGUCCCGAGGUUUCCAAUAUAUUCUAAACAUCUACCUUCACUCCAUCCGCACCGUAUUUCGCCAAAUUGCUAUGGAGAUCAUAAUAAAGAUCAUGUAUCCUCCGAGGGUCUAUUAGCCCAACCCCAUAUCUCUCGAGGCUAUCCAUUACAAUGUCUCUAAGGUUGCUGAUAUUUCCAUAUGAUUGAAUCAGGUAUACCAAUUUGAUACUUACACGUCAUUUAGAAAUUGCAUGAUAGGUCUACUUAAUUAAGUCGCAUGUCAAGUAGAGUAGUUGCACAUUAAUUAUUGCCCAUCAUUAGAAUUAGGCUAAUUAGUUCAAUCGCAUGACAUAUGGCUUAGUUUUCAUUUAAAUACGAGAAAAACCAUAAAGAGAUUUGAGUGGAAUUUUGUGGGACUUAGAAAUCAUAUUUAGGUUAAAUAUAUGUUUCUAAUUAAAAUAUUUGUUACAGAUGCUUACAUUGCAUCAAGGUAAAUUUUCCCCCAUGCUUGCAAUUUAUUUAUUGCCUUAUUGAGUGUUCAAUAAUAGUUGUACACUCGCAUGAUCACUUUACUUAUAUAAUAAUAGGUAAAAAUCAAUCCAAGUCUACAAAAAUAUUUUAAAAAUAAUAAUAAAAAAAGGUACUGAAAGAGCAUUUGAGUAAUUUAAGGUUUGUUUGUUUAAAAGUGUUUCUGUUCCCCGGAACAAAUUUUUUUGUUAUUUUGUUCCAGGGAACAAAAACGUAUUUGGUAAAACUUUUGUUCCCAAAAACAAAUUUAGAACAGAAACAAGAAGUAAAAAAAAGUUGCUUAUUGUUCUCGGGAAUAAUUCCGAGAAACAAUUUUUUUUUAUCUUUUCUUUUUUCUUUCCUUCUUCCUUUUGGUUGGUCAUGGUCCCCCAACAACAUCAAGCCUCGCCAGAUCUGGGCGAGCUCGAGCCCACCCAGCCAAGGCAAGGCCGACCUUGCAUUGCCUGGGCGAGGUUGAUGGGUGAGGUUGAGCCUCACCAAUAUGGCUUGGCAAGGCUCGCUUGGCCACCGAGGCCACCGGUGAGGCCGAGCCAUGCGAUAGCCUGGUGAGGCUUCAGCAAGCUCGACAACCCUCAUGGUGGCCUGGCAAGGCUCUGGCGAGCUCGCUGGACCUCGUCCAGCCGAUUGCCGGCCGCAAAGGAGAAAGAAGGAAAAAAAAAAGAGAAAAAGGGAAAAAUAUAAUAAAAAUAUUGAAAAAUUAAAACAUAAAUUGUUAUUAGGAACAUAAAUAGUCAAAAUUGGUCUCCGGAGCAUAAACGCUACCAAACGCGCCCUUAGCGAAAUCAAGUUCCCGAACUCAUUUAAUCCCUAACUCGUAGAAAUAUGGUAUUUCUCCUAAUGCUUUACUUGUAUAUCUAAUCAACUCGCCAUCAACUAAUUAGUAGCGAUUCUUAAAUAAAAUUCAUUUGCAGCCUAAAAACCUAAACCUAAGUUGCGAAUCGAUAAGGACUUCAGAGAAUUUGAGUUAAGUUUAGACUUAAUAAUUCAUUAGUCAAACCCUUAGGUAGAUCCAACCCGUUUUAGGGAGGUCACAACACAAGUGUUCACUAUCUUCAUUGUGUCGCCCAUUGUUCUCGGCAAUUCAAUUUCUUGGUUUCUGAACCUCCACCAUAAAUAUUGCUCAAAAUGUUGGGCCAUCUCCGUUAGGGUGCACCCUUAGUUUCAGGCAUCAUGAUGAAAAAAAAAAAUCAAAGGAUGAUGGCGCCCACUGCAACCAAAAAAGUAACGCCACCGAGGGUGGUUGUCAUGGACAACCAUACAAAUAAGAAUAACAAUUGGCUAAUGACAAAACUAAUUGCGCUUCCUUGCGCAUGUAGGUGUGGUGAGAAUAAUUUAGCAAUUUAAAUGGAAGUGACCGAUCCCAUACCUACUGAGUAACAUGCUAUGUAGAAGAACAAUGAAGCCAUGCACAACAUUGACAAGUGAUUCUUGUUCCUUUGGUCAAUAGGCUCUAUGUCAUUUUGGUUGAUCAUAUAAUUAGACAAGUGCCCAAAGCUAGGAGAGACUCGAUAAUCCCAUCAAUGCUGCACAACAACAAUCGUCGUUGCCCAACCCAGUCAAUGAAGAGAGUACCUACGAAGAUAUAUACCACCUUUACCAAUACGAUUGUGAUAUUCCAUAAUAGUUUUUUUGUUAGUGGCGCUGACAUCGGUCUUCUCAAAUAUCCGAGGGUUGAAUAGAAGAACAAUGUUCAUGUCACAUGCCUGUCAUAAGAUGCAUACCAAUUGCACAGAUAAUCAUAUGGUAGAUGGAUAGGGUCGGGUGGAGGAGCUCCCACUACACGUCCCUUGUGCAAAUGCUUUGCACAUGGACAACGAUGCCAUUACUCUUGGGAUGGUAGCAGUCUCCUCCUCGGAAUCGAAAAUCCUAGCGAGGAUGCUCCUUACAUCUUCCAAGCGUCUCUGCAUGACCAAUUAUUCAGAGGAUUCCGCAUGGUGCGAACUGCAAUGAUGAUGAAACAAAUACAAAUUAUAUAAAAAAAAAUGAUUUUCCUAUAAUGGAAAAGACAAAUUUAUAACAUAAAAAAAUAGAAAAUAUGCUACGAAUUUUUCUGAAAAUAGAUUUUGAUAAUUACCUCAAGUAAGGAGGCGAGGAAGCCAUGGGAGGAGGCAGGGGAGAUCUCCAUCACGUAAUGGGGGGCAAUCAUGAGGGUGUAGUCAACUCCUAUGUGAGCAAUGAAUCAGCCCAACAAGACGAAGAAGUUGGGAGCGAACCCCGUCGAAAUUGGCCCGAAGAAGAAGAAGAAUCCCACACAACAAUUGUCUGACAACGGCCGAAUUUGUCGACGAUCCACCCUACCAUCACCAAUCCAACGAGCAAAACCGCAUAGAAGAUCAUUGUCUGGACAUCAACAUAGUCAUUGAUUAUCAUGUGGUCUUUUUUUACUUAUGCUGCUGUCUCAAUCAUUAAUCCUAAUUUUGCUAAAAUUCAAUGAAAAACACACACAUAAAAAAUAUUAUUUGUAAAGGUUGACCUCUAACCCUACUUGCCAAUGAUAUUGUUUGUUUUGGGCUGUAGGACUCACUUAUCCCAAGCUCUCAUGACUUUGUUCCUUGGGCUUUGCCUAGAAAAAGUCUUGUUCAAAGUAGAGGCACAACUACAUUACCAUCCCUCAACUUGACCUAAUAAUCCUUUUUGAGGCGUAGCGGCAUUGUCAUCCCUUGAAAUGUUUUGUCCCUGAUGUAGCAGAAAUUAUUACCAAAGUGCCUUGUUAGUAGUUAAGACUGGUGUUACUCCUUAUAUAGCACAUUACUUCAUCUCUCUCUGCCUCCUUCGUGGCAAAGCCGCAUUCCCAUUUCUCGCAAGAUUGGGUAGUUACGUUAUUUUAUUUUAUUUUAUUUUGUAAAAGUAGUUACGUUAUUUAUCAUCACAGUUAUUGAAAAAAAAAUCAGUGCCCUGUUUUCCUCUCAUUUUUCAUUGAAUUUAUUUUCACAAUAUAAGUGAUUAUAAGAUAAAAAUGAUGAGGAUAAUAAGUGUGAUGGAUUUAUCCGAGAUUAACUUGCUUGGCCGAAAAAAGUGAAUUUAUCUGAAAUUAAGUAAUCUUUUCCUUUUCUAUUUUUUUUCAUUCCCCAUUGGUAUAAAGCUAUAAAAAUAUAAGGACAACGAGACUAAACACAACCCGGUAAUAUAUACAUGAUGGAGGCGGCAAUUACGCAUCUUAAUGUGAACUUGUUCAUGAGUAGCUUUACUAGAGGAUGAUUGGAGUUCUCAGUCAACUCCAUUUGUGAGCGUUGUUGUUGACACCAUAAUCACAUAGUAUGACUGUUGAUAUAUGCAAAGUCAAUUUAAUAACUUAUGUACAUCAAUAAGUGGUGUAUCUAAAAAUAUAACGUUAUAUUUUGAAAUGUUAUAUAAGUUGUUGAAUUGACUUUGCAAAUAUCCACAGUCAUUAAGUUAUUCUAAUAUCAACAACAACAUUCAAUUGGAGUUGACUGAGAUCUUCAAUCAUCUUCCAGCAAAGCCGAUCGUGAACAAGUUUACAUUAAGAUGCGUGAUUGCCGCCUCCAUCACGUCUUAUAUUACUAGGUUGUUAGUCUCAUUGUCCUAAUUUUUUCUAGCUUUAUACCAAUUCGAAAUUUAAAAAAAAAAAACUAAAAAUAGAAAAAGAAAAGAUUAAUUAAUUUCAAAUAACAUAAUUUACUUUUUUUUGGCCAAGCACGUUAAUCUUGGACAAAUUCAUCACACUUAUUAUUCUUAUCUUUUUUAUCUUAUAAUCACAUAUCAAUGGAAAAUGGAAGAAAUAUCGAGCACUUAUUGUUUUUUUCAAUGAUUAUGAUAAUAAAUAAUGUAAUGACUCAAUCCCGUGAGGGAUGGGAGUGUGACUCUACCUUGAAGAUGACAAAAGGGACAAGAAUGAACUGAAUUUCAUAUCACUUGGAGACAAUGAAGUAAUGUGCUAUAUAAUGAGUAUCACAAAUCUUAACUACCAACAAGGCCAUUUGGUAGUAGUUUCUGAUGUGCCACAGACAUAACCUUUCGAGAGAUGACAGUGCGGUUGCACCUUAAAGAGGACAAUAUCGAGUUAGGUUGAGGGAUAAUAGUGCGGUGGCACCUCUACCUUGAAUGAGGCCUUUUAUUGGUGAAGCUAAGGAAACAAAACCAUGAAGGGGUAAGUCCUACUGAACAAAGCGAACAAUAUCGUUGGCAAGUAGGGUUAAAGGUCGGUCCUUACAAAUAAGAUUUAUUAUAUAUGUUUUUUUCCUUAAAUUUUGGCAGAAUCAGGAUUAAUGAUCGAGAUGGCAAUAUAUUCAAAAAAGAACCAGAAGAUAAUCAAUGACCAUGUUGAUGUCCAGACAGUGAUCCUUUAUGUGGUGUUGCUUGUUGGAUCGGUGAUGGUAGGGCGAAUCGCCGACAGAUUUGGCCAUCGCCGGAAAAUUGUCCUGAUGGAAUUUUUCUUCUUUUUUGGGUCCUUCCUGAUGGGUUCACUCCCAACUUCUUCAUCUCAUUAGGCCGAUUCAUUGCUCACAUAGGAGUUGGCUACACCCCAAUGAUUGCCUCCUUUAUGUGAUUGAGAUCUCCUUUGCCUCCUUCCAUGGCUUCUUCACCUCCUUGCCUAAGGUACUUAUCAAUCUCUAUUUUUACAAAAAUUUUGUAGUAUCUUUUUCUAUUUUUUAUAUAUUAUAAUUUUUUGUCUUUUCGUUAUGGGAAAAUAAAUUUUUUUAUACAUUUGUAUCUCUUUCAUCAUCAUUGUGAUUCGCGCCAUGCAGAAUCCCCUUGGUGGUCGGUAGACGCUUGAAAGAUAUGAAGCACACUCUUUGUUAACAAAAUCAGGGAGGCUACCAUCAUCCCAAGAGAGUCCAAUAGCAACAUUGUCCAUGUGCAAAGCAUUAGCAUGAAGGAUGUGUGGCGAUCCCAAGAGAGUCCAAUAGCAACAUUGUCCAUGUGCAAAGCAUUAGCAUGAAGGAUGUGUGGCGAAAGCUCCUUCACCCGAUCCCAGCCCCUACGACAUGAUCAUCUAUGUUAUUAGUAUCCAUGACUUCCAAUAGGCAUGUGGCAUGGACAUUAUUCUCCUAUUCAACCCUCGAAUAUUUGAGAAGGCUAAUGUCAACGCCACCAACAAAAUUGUUAUGGAAUUUUUAGUAAAAUUGGUAAGGGUUGUUUACCUUCAUAUGUACUCUCCUCGUUGACUGGGUUGGAGAUGAAGGUUGUUGUGCAAUAUUGGCAGAUUAUCGGGUCUCUCUUAGCUUUUUAGAUACUCGUUUAAUUAUUAUUGACUAAAGUAAUAUAAAGAUUAUUGGCCAAAAGGACAAGAAUCACUUGUCAACAUGGUGCAUGACUUCAUUAUUCUUUUAUGUGGCAUGUUACUAAGUAGAUAUGGGACCAGUCACAUUCAUUUACAACGUUGAAUUAUUCCCGCCACCUACGUGAGCAAUAAAGCACAAUUAGUUUCACCACAAGCCAACUGUCAGGUUUAGAGAUAUCAUUCUUGUUUGUACUAUUGUUCAAGGCAACCAUCCUAUAGGGUUACUUUCUUGUUCACAGUGGGCAUCAUCAAUUUUAUUUUUCAUCACGAUGCCCAAAACCAAGGGUGCACCUUGGAGGAGAUGGCUUUAACAUUUCGGACAAUAUUUAUGGUGGAGGUUCAGAAACCAAACAAUAGAGCAACGUAAUGAAGGCAACAAACACUUGUGUUACAACCUCCCCGAAGCGGGUUGGAUCCACCUAGAGUUUUAACUAAUAGAUUACUAAGUUUAGACUUGCAUGCAAAUAAAUUUUAUUUAGGAGUUUGCCACUUAUCGAUUUAUGACAAGUUGAUUAGAUAUUCAAGUAAAGCAUUUGGAGAAUCCUUACUACUACUACGAACCAGGGAUUAAAUGAGUUCGGGAACUUGAUAACUUGAUCACGCUAGAUUGCUCUAACACACCCUUUCAAUACCUUUUCCAAAAAUAUUUUUGUAAACAAUUUGAAUUGAUUUUAACAUAUCCUCUAACAAGCAAGGUGAUUAGGCAAGUGCACAACCAUUAUUUCAACACUUAAUAAAGCAAGGCAAUAUAUAAAUUGCAAGCAUAAAGAGAAUAGUUACCUUGAUGCAAUGUAAGCAUUUGCAACAAAUAUUAAUUAGAAACACAUAUUUAACCUAAAUAUGAUUUCUAAUUGUCACAAAAUUUCACUCAAAUUGUUGCGACGUAACCCUUCCAACUAGGGGAGGGGGAAAUUUAGCUUUAAGAAUAUUGGAUGGACCUGCUACCCAUGAUUUAGAUGGAAGCUUCUCCCAAAUCCAUAUCUCGUGUCACAUCGGGCAUCCAAAAUUUUAAUCAAUUUAAGCCUAUACAAAUUUUGACUAAGGAAUCACCAUUAGCAUUUUUAGAUCGAUUAGAAAACCAAUAAGAUGUGGGAGAAUAUCUUACUAAUUAUGCAAUCAGAGAUUCUAAACUCGGGAAUUUGAUUACAUUUGCCCUAAGGCCAACGCCCUUUCGGUACGUAACCUAAUCACACGUUAGCUAACACCAUAGUAGCCUAUCCAAGGGUUCUAAGUAGCAUCCUAACCAUUUUAAAGAAGGAAAGCAACAUCCAAAAUUGAAAAGCACACUCAAUUAUAAUCAUAAUAGAAAGCAUGCACGCAUCCUCAAAUUAUCUCUAAAAUAGAAAAAAGACAAUCAAAAGGGGAAGUCUAUUGUAAAGCCUUAGAGGCUUGUCCAAUUUUAGGAUUUACUUCCCAAGGGUUUUCUAUUUUUAUAUUAUUUUUAAUGACUUUUUUAGAUUUUUUAUUUUUAAAUGAUUUUCUAAAACUCCGAUUUUUUUUUAUUGAUUUUCGAAUUUUCUUAAUUUUUUUAUUCCCUAAAUUUUAAAACUUUUUUUUUUCAUUUUCUGAAAUUUUAAUUAUUAAUAUUUUUUUAAUAUUAACAUAUAAGCAAUCGGACCGGGUCAAGAGACCCGACCCGAACCCUAUCGGAUCAGGUUGGACUAAAAUUAUUAACCCUAGAAGCCCACUCGGAAUUAAACAAACCAUUCUAAGAACACUUUUAUUUUUAUUAAUUCUUUGGCCCAACUCUAAAAAUAACCUAACCCACAACAACCAGCCCAAAACCCUUCUCUUCUUCUUAAGGCGACCGGCCCACAACUUAAAAGCCCGAAGCCCAUUUUACUUUCUAUUUCCCUAUUUUUGGCCUUUUCUCUUUUUCUCUCUUUUCUUUUGUUGUUUUUGUCUUUUUCUGUUUUGUCCUCUCCCUCCCCAAAGUCCUCCCACGUCUGCAACCAACGCCCCAUGGAUAAAUGCAACGCUCAGCCGAAAUUUGGUUUUCACUGGUUAUCCCUUCCUGGUCGGCUACUCUGACCCGCGCUAACCUACUGCCGGCCGCUGGGUGGCCGGAGGUUGUCAUCGACGCCGAACUAGCUCCGGCGAAGAACUUUCAUGCUCUAAAAUCUUGUAUGACAAAAAAAAAUGUACUGGUUCGGGCAUUGCCAUCAGAACGGACAAAACACAACGAAGAGGAGUCAAACUCAUAUAAAGAUGGUAUCACAGAAACGAAUCUCGGAAAACGCAGUUCAGAAUCUCGUUUAGGCAUUUUAUCAAACAUGCGGUGUGCACUAAUGAAACAGGAGACCUCCGACUCAUCCGCAGCUCAAACUCAGACCGAGACUGUCAACAGGCAUACUAGCAUACACGGCAAGCAGACGAGAGUAUAUAUGUACAACAACCUUAACGGGGCCAGCAAAGCCGGAGUUCGCGUGAUGACGUACGGACGAGGGGACACCUACCUGGUUCGAGCGCGGUGCUAUGGGGGACGGCGAUUGACGGACUGGCCUCCGAUGAACGUGGACUCCUUCCUUUGUCGUGUUAGCGAGCUCCUUCGCUUCCUCUCCUUCUCACUCUCGACUGACUCCUCCUCGUCGCUACGCGCGAGGAACGAUCCGGAGCUCGAGCUCGACGCGAGGUCGCCGGACUCCGACGGCACGCUGACUUUCUCCGGCGAGACUGGAAGCGGAAGCAGGAGAGGCGGUUCACCCCGCGCUCCCUCCGACUGCCGCUCUCUCUCUCUUUCUGCGGAUUCUAGCGAGCGCCCUUUGAUUCUCUUUUCCUUUGGUUUUCUCUCCAGCGAAACCCCCAGUGGCCCACACCCUCCAAAAACAGAAUAUUAUUCCGUUAUUUCUUCUUCUCCUCCUCGGUUCUCUCCUCCAUCUCCUCCUUCUCGAAACCAGCGAUCGCCCCCUUCAGCCCUACUCCUCCUUCUCAUGCGAACGUCUUUCCCUGUAUCUCCUUCAAGUUCUCCCUCUUCUCUGAAAGUUCCAGGCGGUGCAAGCAAGCAACAUUCGGCUGGUUUUUUGCAGAAGGAGAGAGCGGCAGAGAGAGAGAGAGGGAGAGGUCGCUGCCGAGAGAAACCGGAGACAAACGAGAGGAUCAUGAUAGGCUUAAAAGUUUUGCUAAAAGAGGAGCUAGAUAAAAGCCAGUCCGCUCGAUUUUUACUAUCUUUUUUGUGAUUUUUUUUUAUUCUGGUCAUUUCAUUUUAUUUUUACUUUUAGCUUUUUACAUUUAUGUAUACUUUUUAUUUUUGUAAAAUAAACUGAUAGAAAUUUUUUUUGGUGUCAAUACAAACCUCUAUGGGUUUUCUCUUAAUUAAAUGAAAGUUAAGUUACGCUAUAUGUCAUGUAAUGUAACUAACUAGCCUAAUUUUGAUGACGGGCAAUAAUUAAUAUGCAACUACUCUACUUGACAGGCAACUUAUGUAGACCUAUAUCAAAUUACAUGACUUAAUUCUAUAUCAUAUGCACAUGGUUUUUUUUUUAUUAUCACAAUUCGUAAUUAAAAAUUACCAAAAAUAAAUAUCUACCUAAAUUGAGAUAUUAUCUAUUUUAAAUUAGAAAAUAAACGAAUCUCAAAUCCUAUCUUAACCUAAAAACUUAUUUGAACUAACAAUUCAUUGCAAAGAUGUUAUUUACUUUAGAUAUUAGCUAAACACGCAUUCUGUAGGUAACAAUUCUAUCUAGGAAACCAAUCCUAAUCUAUAUAAUAUUCUGUGCAAUCUUGUUUAUGUUUUCGAAAUAACUGAAGCAAUCAAAGCCAAAUGAGACACGCAAUCAAAGCCAAAUGAGACAUGUAAUCAUUUGAGAUUAUCAAAGAUAUAAUCCAAUCAAUUCAAAUAAUGAAAAAUAUCUAAUCAACUUGAAAUUUUGCAAAUAAAAUCAAAAGAUUGAUAUUAAGUCUUAAAGAUCAAAAUAUCAAUUUUUAUGAUUCUCGCGCAAUUAAUAAUUCUAUUUAAAACCUUAUAGAUAGAAUUAAAGCUCUUGCGGAUUAGGAAAUAUAUCCUAAUGAUAAUAUGUCUAUCACUUAGAGGAAUCAAAUCGAUAAUGCAAAAUUAGGAAAUAAAAUAUUCUAAUCAUGUUCAGAUAAGAUUUUACCUAAUUUUGCGGAUCACGUAUCCAAAUUUGAACUUUGACGGAAUUGGCUCGAGAUCACGGAUGACUGGUGGUGUCUGGCGAUAUGCUCGACGAUGGAAGAUCGGCAGUUUUCGAUGUUCUCAACCAUGCUGGCAGCCGCUUUGAGGACUUGUGAGAACAGAAUUCCAAUGGAACGAUUAGCGACAGACGACCACAAGCAAGUGUAGGAGUCCCAAGAACUUGUUCCUUCUUGUGUCUUUUUCGUAAAGUGCACCUGUAUAGUCAAGAUUUGAAGAAUGUCUCUGAGUGCUCGAGAGAGUGCAAAGAAAAGGGCGGACUUGCUGGCUUUGACUGAGAAGCUAGCAAGCGUGUCCCCGGUGGUUUACGACAGGGACUUACUACGCAAUGGACUGAGCGUGACUAGACCUAAUAGAUGCGCCGGGGAGGGUCUCCGGUGAUGACGGUUGGAAGUAGGCUCGCGGCUGCAGUGGCGAGACUGCAAGAUCACUGUUACGAUGGCACCAGGGAAGCUGCUCCUGACCUGACGCAAAGAUCGACGUCCCGAGGAUCAACGAGAAUGGUCUUCUUCUUUGUGUAGUCUAUGCCAAGUGCUCUAUGAAGACCAAGUUUAUGCUCUCCAAUGUGCCGAAUGUUGAUCCCAGAGAAGUCCUCCAAGUGCUGCCGCUCAGGAUCUUGAAGACCCCCUUUAUCUGUCUCUCUCUCUCUCUCGGCUCUCGCUCACAAUUUUUAUAUUGUGGCUGACCUCUCUUUCUCUUAAUUUUGUGGCCGCGUGUUUUCAAUUGUGUGGCCUCCCCUCUUCUUGGCUGUGCGAAGGUCUAUUUAUACUAUAGAGGAACCGACCUCCUCAUAUUUUUUUCCUCAAUCAAUUAUUACUUUCCUUGGUUGACUGAUUCCAUGUGAAUAUUUUAUGUGAUCGAGGUUGUGGAUCUCCCUUUGCCAAGCCAAAUAUAUCCUGCUCAUAUUUCCUUUCCUAUUUUUCAUUUCCGAAUUCUCACGAUAUAUGUAUAAUAUUGCUGUCCAAGUUUCAUCAAUAUGGAAAUGACGUUUCUAUGAGCUCAGUCCCCAAUUAAGCUCAAAACCUUUCAAUUAAGUCCAUCCGCCGCCGAUCCAAUGCAAGUGUAACUAUUAAUCCAGAUGCUCCUAAUAUCUAUAUCCAAUUUUAACUUAAUAUUUUUGCUAGGGGGUCAAUCCGUAACUUUCUAUGCAAUGAAAUACUAAUUAGGUCGUCAAGAUUUAGGUGUCAAUAAUUUGGAAUAAGUAUCAAAUAGGGGUGCUGGUAAAAGUAGAUUUCUUUGUUAGUUAGGGGAAUAAGUAUCCUAAAGGAUUGUGAGGUAAGAAUAAAUUCUUUGUUAGGGUAGUUCUCUUUGAAAGACAUUAUGUGCAUGAGUGAUUAUGGAUUGUGAUGGGCGAGUGAUAGGUUGUGUAGUUCUCUUUGAAAGACUUUACUAUCUUCCCAUUGAAUGGGUUACAAUGCCAAUGUGUUUACUGCUCUGAAAAGCUUUAAUGGAGAUUUUUUAUUAUGUUCAUGGUUUAAUCUCUAGUGUAUGCAUUUGACUAAAACAAUUAGUGCGCUCAGUAGGAAAAAAAAAAAAAACCAUGAUGACAGAAGGGCAUAGGUCGAGCAAAGUGCUGUUCUAGGCAUGUGCCUCAUAUUUAGUUUAUGUUUUGCCUAAUUGUUAUAAAGGUCUGUUUUACUGAAAUGGAAUAUGCAAAAUCUGACAAGGUGAAUCUGCCUCACUCUCUUAAAUAUUUUACUUGUUGAUUGUUUGAUAUGGUAAGCUGCAUCUAAGCAACGGUGAUAAUUCUGUAGUUAAGUUUGUCUUGAUAUGUAAUUUCCUAAGAGUCUGGAGCAUUAUCUUAAGAAGGGACCAUUUUUUACUUCACAGGAGCCUUUAGCUUUCCUUGCAAUGUAUUGAAACCAAAAACAUCGUUAUUAAUAUUUGCAGUUAGGAAAAAAUUAUAAAUGCAUACAUAUGAACAUUUGUGUCUUUGGAAAGAUUUUGGGUGUUCAGUUAUUCGACAUUGAAGAUAUAAAUAAAAAAAUGCAACAGACAUUCAAGGCAGACACAAUCAUUCGAUUACUUUUCUUUUUUACAGUCUUGCUGUUGCACAACCCUUUGCUUUGGUACUUGUUAUUGUUGAAUCCUUUACUUCUCUCCAUUACCACUGGACCUCAAAAUCAUCCUACUCUAUAUUCAAAUUUUUCCAUUCAUUUGUUUAUCCAUGGUGUAUAUUUGAUCUACUAUUUAUUGUUUAUUGGAAAAUGCAGAUCUAUUUAGCUCAUGUCAUUUUAACAUAAGGAGAUCCCAACGCACAAGACAAAAAACAUUAUAAAACUAUGUCGAAAAAAUGGAGAACACUAAGAAAGGGUACCUGUUUAAAGUAAUAAAUUAUUUAAUAAAUCAAUAACAAUUCGAAAUUUUCUCACAUUUUACCUUGGUAUUAUAGCUAAAUUUGUUCUUGUUUGGAACUCAAUCCAUGAAGCCUUCCACCCUCUGAUGUUGGCUACAUUAAUGCCAAAUCGAGCUUCUGGAUAGCACGCUAUCAUGAGACCUUACACUGUCUAAGAUCUUCCUCAUUAUGGUCAUUGACGUGCCUUUGUCGCCAAUAUUAAUCAUGAUCUUCCUCGCUCAACCAUUUACUGUUGAUGCUGACGAAGGACUGUGUCUUGCUACGUUUGCUAUCUCUCGAGAAAAAAAUCAAAAGCAAGUAAGGAGAGUGCGUGCAUUGGGACAGAUCUUCAUGUUGCGAUAAAGGUCAAGAAAAGAGCAAGAUACGUUCAGUGCAAUGCAAUUUAUAGGAGAUGUUUCAGAAUUAAAAACGAGAGACAAAUUCUAUUACGAGAUGGAACUCGCUGCAGUAGACAGGUGUCGACCACUAGGAGUUUCGUCUUAUGAUGGAACUCUUCUCCCACUUUUACUUUUGAAACAUCCUCUAUAAAUCGCAUUGCGCCGUGGACUAUCUUGCUCUUUUCUUGACCUCUUUUGCAACAUGAAAAUCUAUCCUCCUAAUGCACGUACCUUCUUUACCUCCUUUUAAUUUUUCCCGAGAGAGCUCGCGACAAAUAAUGUCUGUUAUUGCACAUAGCAUUUGCAUUUCUAAGCUCUGAAAGGGAAGUGCUUGCUUUCCCAAUAUCUCAUCAUGGAACAAUUGCAAACUUUUCGAGCUAUCUGGUGUGCUUUCCUAUAACAAGUUCGAUGCUGCACCUAUCAGGGGACAUUCUCUUACAAUCUUGUCCUUGGUAAUUGAGGAUGCAUCGGGAGGACAUUGAACACUCUUCUUGUCCUUCAUAAUGUGAUUGGUUAGAAAAUUAUUCACUAAUUAUCCACUCCGCAUGCUUCUUAACCCAAUUAUAGUCGAUUGUCAUUAAACAUAUGAUGAUUGAUCCUGAUGAGUUAAUCUAACAUAUGGCCAUAAAUCUCGCAACACAUUAAUAUAGUGAAGUGAAUAGUGAAGUGAAUUACAUGGUACUGUGUAGAACAAGAUAUAAAUUCUGCACUUUCAUUUAAAUGCUACAAAAGCGGAGAUGCCAAACCUAUUGAUAUUUGUUCUCUAAUGAAACAAUCUAAUUGCGGAAGUCUAAGCCAGAUUCAUUUGCCAUUUUCCUCACCUGCAAAGGACCACGGCUUGCAAUUCCCCAAAGCAAUCAGCUCACAGCAAGGCAGUCACUUAUUCAAAAUCACAAGUCCGCAUGAUACAAUAAGCAACUCAUGUCAAUGAUUUUCGUCUCUAGCUCGACGAGCGCGGCUUCUCCAACUCCAGAGUGACUGCUUUGGCUUCUCCUUGAGCGGCUCGAAGUGCGAGAGGUGGUUGAGAACUCCACCCUUCACAUUCGGAUACGGAUCGUUGAGCCAGGGGUACUUGUGCUUCUUCACCUUCCUGAGCUUCGCGACCAUGGCGGUGCUCCUCCAGGUGCCUAACCACAUCCUCCCCAGGGCUCUCAACAAGAGCUUGCAGAUGCCGCCAUUGCUCGAGCUCCCGAAAAUAUCAAAGGAGGCCGCAGCCCAAAACUUCCGCGACUCAGGGAAAGUCGUCGACUAGAGACCUAUGCUAUGCCGAAAGACUGAAUAGAGGAAGGAGGAUGGAGAUGAGGGUUCCCUUCUCCGUCGCAAAUAACAGCUUUUGCAUUCUCUGUGUGUCUGGGCUCAAUGAGGGAUGCAGCGGAAUGCCGUUCCACGACAAAUAUGGCGUAGAGGAAUGACACCUACGGUGGAAAUUGUAAACAAUCAAGAAGUGGGUCCCCUCUCCAUAAUUCGAUCCUCAAUUACAUCGCUUUUCGCCUUGAGUCGCCAUUUAGUGCGGGUGGUUAUUAUUCACCAGCAAAAUCCAGCUUGAUGGGACAAACGUUAAUAGCGCUUUAAAGGACUAAACUAUGCUGUGCAUGACAACACAUCCCUUUCAAGUUAAAAGGAGCUGCGUCUCGGUCUCGCCUCUGGGACAUUUACCCCGAUGGUUCUCCCAUCCAAGCUCUGUAACACCAGGCAACACAAAUGGUCAAAAUAACUCCUCAUUCUUUAUUACUUUACCAGCAAUUUCUUAAGAGAAAAAGGAAACUAAUCUUCUCGAACUAGCGUAAAGGCUCUUCUCCAGCAGUCAGAACUAAUAACAAAAAUACUAGCAAGCAAGUUGACAAAACCACGUGAGAUAUUCUCUAAAGCUGCUGUGUAAACAAUGAGUCCGAAACAAUUUGUACAGGUUUCUUCAACCAUGACAUCCACAGAACCACUUGGAUGAGCUUUGGUUAACCAGAAAUGUGCAAAGAACAGGAAAGAUAGUAGUACCUGUCUGUCAAGGCAGCAAUGGCAUCAUUCAUCUCAGUCUCAAACGCCAUCACCACAAAACCAAAACCACGAGAAUGACCAGUUUCCCUAUCAUAAACCAACCACGCAUUUACCACCUCACCAUAAUCACUGAAAACUUGUUACAGACGAGCAUUAUCCACACUCCAUGGCAGGUUCCCAGCAUACAAUCUAUAUUCAACAUCAAGAACGCAAGGGAGGCACUCUGCUCAUGAUCCUUUUGGGGAAGCCUUAUUGACGGUUAGACGUCUAUCAUUUAAAUACUGUAGGCAAAGGUAAUCGACCUUAUUAGCAUUAAAAAUCAAUAGACAUGCCCAUCAGGCAAGUUCCAAACAUCUUGAGGGAUGGCAUCUCAACUCCACAUAAGAUACAGGUAAGGGAAGUUAUCAUUGAUAUGCAUCGACUUUUCACCAAUUUGGUUAGUCCUUUUCAUCCAUCUCCAACCAAAAUAAUGCUCAUCCAAAUUAUUCACAAGAUUCUCACGCCCAAGAAGCAGCUAUGAGCAAAUUAGGAACACACGGCACAAAAUGAAUGAAUGUGCAGCUUGGAUGGUCAUCGACUCAGUACUGAGAAUUCAAGAAUAUGAGGCGGAUCCAUUAAAGGAAUAUGGACAGAACAAACAUAACCCAAGCUGCCAAUACAUAAUUUAGAAUGUCAUAAUUCAUGACAGGUCUUCGACAUACUUGAAAAGAGAAAUUAAACUGACAAUCAAGAGAUUCAAAUUGCAAAGUUUUGCUGGUUGAACAGAGCACCAGGGAAAACCAGAAAAUUUGGCAUGCAUUCAUCUCCUUCGCUCUUCCACCCACCCUUUUCAUCUUGCCCUUAACAAGCCCCAACAGCAUCCCCACCCCUCCAUAAUGAAAGGUGUACCAUGAAUUGAUUAGGACAUGUAAGUGGUGAAGCAAGAACGAGUCGAUGCAGCGUGGAGUAUGGCUGUGCUAUGUUUGCUCUGCAUUUAACACGUGAAAUUAGAAAUGAGAGAGUCGAAGGGCAAGGUCUCACGUCCCAUGUGCCAAGUGCUCCGCAUGAGAUUCAAGACACUCAUACAAAACCAAAUACCAAGUACUUGAAAGUUGUUAAUAUACAAAAAAGCUAUUUGACACUAGGGUGAUCCAUAGGCGAACCCAGGCUUGACCGGACCUUCGGAUCAGUUUCAAAUAAUGCUCAAGCCUGUCCAUCCCCAUGACAUCGAUGCGGGUCCAGCUCAAACCUAAUUAGGGUAGGCCUUACAUCUAGAAAAAUGAUUAUUCUCAUUAGAUCUGUUUAUUACUUGUUAGAUGUUUUGAUUGCAUAGUGCAAUGUAAUUUCUCUAUUCUAUUCGGAUUGUAUCCUUGUAACUUGUUUUUUCUGGAGUUCUAGGUAGACUUGAUCACGGGCCUAAUAGCCCACCCAAACCCGGCUUCGGACGCAAGGACCUAUGGUUAUAGCAACCCCUAUUAAGCUAUUAUCUUUUGUAGAAAAUAGCCCAUCCAGGUCUACUUGGCACUAAUUAUUAUGUCUGAUUUGAGGAAGAAGGUAAAGUUAAUCAUACUAAAGCUCAUCAUCCAUGUUUUUAACAGCACGCAAGAAUUUCAGAAAUACUAGAUAUGCACGGAAGAAGUCUUCUACCUGAAGAUCUACGCAAGCUCAACCAAAUGAAUUUCUUUUCAACUUGAAAACAAAUAAUAAAGAAAAAGACGACCAAAAUGAUCAAUUAUGAGACGGCAUGCUGCAACUAUUUGUGCUUCUUUUUCAUUAUUCGCUACUUAAGAAGGAAUAGCAAAAAUGAUUUACACUUCUAGAAAUUCCAAAUUGGUAUUCUAAUAACACAUUAUGUCUCGCAAAAAAUAACGAUCUAAUAACCUUGACCCAAAAAUUUAUCCUCUUUUAGCAUUCCAUCUUGCGUCUCAAUGAAAAACUCAUCUUCCAGCCAUUCAUCAUAAGUGUAAUACCUAUCUAUUUUUAUGGAAUAUUGGGAGAAUUUUAACGGAGGAGGGUAGAUUUUGGUCAGGGGUGCCGGUUUGUGAUUUCUUUUAGACGAAAAUUAGUGGAGGGCAACAUUUUAUUUAUUUCGUGAAGGAACAGUGAAAUUGCAAGGAUCACCAAAUGAAAUUAGAACUUCGAAUAAAGCUGUGUCGCCGCCGCAACAAGCAUUGCCGGUGCUUCCUCCCUGACCCUACCCAUAAAUUUACUAAUUUCUGUCUUCCUUUUUUUGAAAUUUUCUUGUUUUCAUAUUUUCGGGUAAUUUAUCAAGUUUUAUAAAUAUUAAAAGAAUUUCACGCUGGCAUUUAAGGGCUGUUAAUGGCCAUGUUGACGAUUUACUUAUGAUUUUAAUGGAUCGACUGACUCGAAGAGAAAAAAGCUACUAAUUUAACUACACAAUUAAUUUAAAUAAAAAAAAUUCAUGGACCGAUUGAACAUUUUGUAACUAUUCAAAGACUAGUGGAUUCAACCAAAAAAAAGAGGACUAGCGGCCUCUAUCUCUUUAAACGAUGAUGAAUGCUUGAAAGGAGAUAACGAAUCAAAAUAAAAGAGAAUAAUCUUAGAUAAUCUAUUUUUGGUGAGAUGUGACAUAUACGACAUCAAGCAAAUGCAAGGUGACUUUAUAUAUUAGAAAAAUAAACUCACGAUACAUAAUCAUCUGGGCCAUGAUACAUAUUAUUUUCUUCUGUAGUAUAUUUUACCUUCCAUUAAAUUUCAAUGUUAUUGUUGCUGUUAUAGUUCUAGAAAGAUCAAGUUUUCACGGAAGUCAAUUGCGUCAAGAACAGAAAAAGAUUUAAUCUUGUACUCACGAAGACUUUAGGGCGUGGAUCGAAUGGUAAGAAAGAAACUUGUGAAGUAACUAAACGGCGCAUCAGGCAUUUGUUUUUGCAAAAUGGAAGAGCUUCAAGUUCAUGUACAAACCGGUUCCUGGGAACCCCAUCAAGCAAACUAUCUGUCAACUAAAGUUGUCAUAUACUCUUAAAUAUGUUCAGCUUUAUUUGAAGUUCUAAAUUCAAACGUGUUGUCCUAGGUGGGGCGCAAAUACUAAGUUUUAGUCAUCUGCAUAGAACAAUCCGAUGCGAACUCCUAAUUAAUAACUGGACAACCAUCAACCUCAACCCCUGUAGGACCAGUAGCCAAUUUGCAAUCGUCAUCAUUGGUGAGUCCCCACCACUCUGGACCAUUGAGUUGUAUUGAUUGGAAGGCAAAAUAGAGGAGCACUCCCAUGAAGGCAACUCCGGCGUCCAGAGCGGCCGAUAAGACAUAGUUGUACUAGGCCCAACAACCCUUGAACCUCUUGUAAACAUAUACGUUGAAGAAGAUCCUGACCACACCCCAGGAAGUGUAGUUUAGGACUGAGGCGAGCGCAAUAACCAUUGAACCUCCUAUGAAAAUUGGCAUGUUAGGGUGCGUAUGGCAACGUUUUUAUUAUGGGGAACUAUUUCUUUUCGGAAAGAAUUUUUUUAUAUUUCUACUCCGAGAACAAUUUUUGAGUAAAAUAAGGUGUUUGGUAAUUAUACAAAAUUUCUAUUCUUGUAAUAGAAAAAGAAUAGAAAUGCGUUUGGUAAAAAUUUACAAAUUUUUGUAUUUAUUUGUUUUUUCUUCUUACUCACGGACUACCGAUUGUCGCCCGCCGUCGCACAACCACUGCACAACAGCUGCACGACCGUCGCACGACCACCACACAAUUAUUGCACGACUGCCGACCAUCACUGUCGAUCGUUGCACAAUGGUUGCACAACCGUCACACAACUGCCACACAAUUGCUGCACGAUCGCCAACCAUCGCUGCCAACCGUCACCACAGGAUUGCCUCCCACAGCCCACCGGCCACGGGAGAGGGCGGUGGUCAGUGAGCUGUGGGUGGCGGUCUUGCAGCGGCGAUCGACGGCAACGGUUGACGAUCAUGCAACGGCAGGCGACAGUCGUGCAACGAUUGGCGACGGCAGGCUGCCGGCAGACGGUGAUGGUUGUCGGCCAAUGGGCUAUGGGCGGCAACAACUGUCGCUGACGAUCGGUUGUCGACGAUGGCCGCGAGCGAUAGGAGGUGGUCGACGAUUGGCAGGCGGCCGACGGUGGCCACAACAAGGAAGAAGAACAAAAGAAAAAUAGAAAAGAAAAGAAAAACUUAUUUCUUGAAAUUAUUUCCAGAAACAAGAAGCUAUUUUUUUUUUUGUUUCUUAUUCCUGUUCUAAAUUUAUUCCCUAGCCAUUUUUCUAUUCCAGAAAAUAGAAAAAUAAUUUGACGUUACCAAAUAAAUUUCUAUUCUUUUUUUGUUCUGAGGAACAAAAGAACAUAAAUUGGGAGAAAUAGAAACAUUAUCAUGCAAGCUCUUAAUGUGCUGAAUCCACUUUUUGUAUUCAACCUACGCGAUAGGUACCAAGCUUGCCCAGGGGCAAGCAGUCCGAUGAGGAAGAACCAGUUCAGGUGGUGAUAGAUCUCUGGCUUUCCAAACAUCUUGAGCGGGCCGAUGACUCCCCAGAUGAUUGAGGCGCUAUAAAAGACAUUGUCGUCGGGGCAUGUCCAUAGGCUUCCCUCUAGUAGCUGGGACUGGUUGCAUAUGUUGGGGCUGCUAGUGAUUAGCCACCACGCGGUGGCAAAAUAGACGCUCGAACCGAUGAUUGUCCCAACCAACUAUGGAAUUAGGAAGUUUCACAAUGUUGUGAGCAGGGGGACGCCUAGAGUCCCUUAUGUAGUCAACCCCCUGGGGGUGAAGCCCAGAGUCCCUUCUGUAGUCAACCCCCCGGGGGUGAAGCCCAGAGUCCCUGCUGCAGUCCCUGCUGGCCCGACAGCAACCCCCCGGGGGUGACGCCCAGAGUCCCUUCUGUAGUCAACCCCCCGGGGGUGAAGCCCAGAGUCCCUGCUGGCCUGACGGCAACCCCCCCGGGGGUGAAGCCCAGAGUCCCUGCUGGCCCGACGGCAACCCCCCCGGGGGUGAAGCCCAGAGUCCCUGCUGCAGUCCCUGCUGGCCCGACGGCAACCCCGCCGGGGGUGAAGCCCAGAGUCCCUUCUGUAGUCAACCCCCCGGGGGUGAAGCCCAGAGUCCCUGCUGCAGUCCCUGCUGGCCCGACGGCAACCCCCAGGGGUGACGCCCAGAGUCCCUUCUGUAGUCAACCCCCCGGGGGUGAAGCCCAGGCCCAAAGUGAGAAAAAGGUAGGAGUUUGAAAGGCCUCAAUUCUCUGUGAUAUAAUUUACCCGAACUAGGAACAUCGACUUCGGAGGAAUCUUCAAGUAGUGACCUAAUUUGAAGUUUGAAGUAAAUAAGAUCGCUUAAAUCCUAUGACCAACUCCGUGAUCACAUUUAGCCCCGGCGUCUGCAACAGCAAAUUUCAUGUGUGUGAGAAAUGUUUUUCUUUGGUAUCAGCCUGUUAAUUUACCUCACAUUCUCGUGUUGCUAUAUAUAUAAAUUACAUUGUUUGUCGUGGCUGUGAUGAUCCCAAUUGGUAAUUUGAAGAGUAGCGCCAUCUCACACGCUAGGAGGAGUCCCCACCAAGGCAGUUAGAACUAUUUGUCGAAACCUUCACAAACCCAUAGAGCGAGUCCCAACACUACAAUCUAGAUAAUGUGAAACCAUCACUGAGGAACUGCUUCAUAGUUCUGCUUCAUCAACCUGGUGUGCACGUCUCUGAGGUAACUGCCUCCUGUUGUUUUCCUUGACAUUUGCUAGAUUGUUCUGAACCAAAUAACAAUUGAAAAACCAAAUUUUUCACUGAGUUGAGUAAAUGACAAUUUAAAAUUCUUUGUAAUACAUCUAUGUUGCAUAUGCAAGUAAUGAUACAUUGCCCACAACUGGGGAGAAAAUAGAUAAAAAUGAAGAAACGUACUUUCCAUGGAACAGGGCGACAUGCGUAAGGGUAGUGGCCAAAAUUGCAAAAUUCAACCCAUAAUUUAAGGCAAAGAAGAUGCUAAGGUAAAGUUUGCUAUAACCAUCGUAGGCCUCCAGAUUCAGGUCAAAAUUCUAGGCAUUGAGAAUCAGAGUAAUGUUAUAUUCUUGGUAAGAUGAGUUGAAAUUCCCGAAGGAAAUAAUGGGGAACUGUUUGGCCUCGUAUGUAUUGGAAUAAUAAAGGAUGGGAAGAACAACAUAGACAAUCAAGAAGAACCCGACAAGGAUGUUGAGAAUGGAAGAGCCCAGGAAGGCUAGAGGGCUUCCCAAGAAUGAGGAGACUGAGGACAAGUCGAAGCUGAAUGAGCCCAACCCGAAGCCGUAGGAACCAGAACCAACUUGAUGUGCAGUGAUUGAUUUCUUCCAUAUCCAGCAAAUAACCAAGAGGUAAGCGAUUAUUUUGAAAAGAUAUCCCGGCACCAGAUAAUAAGCAAAGCUCGAUAUGAAAAACACCAGGAAAAAUUAGAUCCUCAUACAUCCUCCCUUUGGCCUCUUUUCCUUUUCAUACAAAGCCCUAAAUGUGAGAUAAAAAGUUGGCAAUGUGAACGAAUGGAGGUGAGGUUCCGAGGAAGGUAACAAGAAGAAGAAGAUUUUUGUCUCGCUUGAGCUAAAAGAAAGGGAACAGGCACCUGAACAGAGAGACCUAUACAAGGUUGGAUGGCUACCACACGUAGGGAGAGUCCACCAGGUAUUGUCUGAACAAACCAGCCCAACCAUAGCAAAGCAAUUGAAAUUCAUUCAGCAAGAAGAGAAUCAAACAUAGGCGAAUAAACAAAUCGCAUCUUUUAAGGAAAGAUGGUGACCAUAGCUUGAAGAAGUCAGUUAUAGAUUGUGUAUGUAUUUAUCUAUCUUGACAUACUUGAGUCGUUUGUGCUAGCAUGAAAGCUCCAAUGAUAUUUGUUGUAAUAUAAUACGCGGAAAUGACAAGAUCUUGCAAUUUACGUCAAUGCGAAAUCGCCAGAGAAAUAAACGAGAAAAAUAAGGAUACCAUAAAUUUACAUGGUUCAAUACAAAUAUCGGUACCUACAUCCACGGAGAGAGCCAGCAAUAAAUAAUCCACUAUAAUUGGAGAAUCAGAGUUUACAAUUACUCACACGCUCAAGUGUUUCUCAUACCUAGAUUUAACCCAAAACCCAAAAUGUUUAUAAAUAAAUAACUGACUUGGACAUAAACUCAUGGCACAAAAAUUAUCACGCGUUCAAACUCAAAGUAUAACGCUCUACGUACGCCAAAACUCAAAGUCGUGCGGCAAUUGUGCGGUGGUCGUGCGACAGUCAUGCAACCGUCGUGCGGCAGUCGGCGGCGACGGUCAACAGUUGUGCAGUAAUUGUGUGGCCGUCAUGCGACGGUCAUGCAGCUGUUGUGCCGCGGUCGUGCAGCGGCGGGCGACAAUCCUGAUCUACAAAAUUUUAUAAAUUUUAUAAAUUUUUAUAAAUACAAAAUUUUUACCAAACGCAUUUCUAUUCUUUUUCUAUUAAUAGAAAUUUUGUAUAAUUACCAAAUACCUUAUUUUACUCAGAAAUUGUUCUCGGAGUAAAAAAUAAAGAAAAAAAUUCUUUCUGAAAAAAAAAAAAUAGUUCCCCAGAAUAGAAACGUUGCCAUGUGCACCCUAAUAUGCCAAUUUUCAUAGGAGGUUCAAGGAGCAUUCCGCCCGCCUCAGUCCUGAUCUACAUGUCCUGGGUGUGGUCGGGAUCUUCUUCAACGUAUAUGUUUACAAGAGGUUCAAGGUUGGUGGGCCCAGUACAACUAUGUCUUAUCGGCCGCUCUGGAUGCCGGAGUCCCCUUCAUGGGAGUGUUAAUCUAUUUCACCUUCCAAUCAAUACAACUCAAUGAUCCAGAGUGGUGGGGACUCACCAACAAUGACGACUGCAAAUUGGCUACUGGUCCUACAGUCCCUAGGGUUGAGGUUGAUGGUUGUCCAGUUAUUAAUUAGGAGUUCGCAUCGGAUUGUUCUAUGCAGAUGACUAAAACUUAGUAUUUGCGCCCCGCCUGGGACAACAUGUUUGAAUUUAGAACUUCGAAUAAAGCUGAACAUAUUUAAGAGUAUAUGACAACUUUAGUUGACAGAUAGUUUGCUUGAUGGGGUUCCCAAGAACCGGUUUGUGAAGAACUUUACGAACAGAAACAAAGAUGGAGGCAAUAGAGAGAGAGAGAGAGAGAGAGAGAAUGUAUAUCUUCUGUUAUAUCAACUGACUUGCUUGAUUACAGUAUAUGAAAGUUUCUUCUUAUAUCUAUUCUAUUUCUCUUGAUGAAUCUGGUUUUCCCCAAGGUCUGUUGAAAGGAAAAGGGUUAACUACUUAACUGCAAAGAAUAACCGAAUACCGGUCAUGACAGUUAAGAUACAAAGAGAAGGAAAAACAGAGUAAAAGAACAGAGUAGUGAUUUUGGCCAACUUCGCAGCGUUUCUUCUUCAGCAUUUCUUCAUGCUAUUUCUUGAUCUGUAGAUCGUCCUUCUUCCUUCCUUUCUUUAUUUUUCACCGUAGAUCUUCUUUGUUCUGCACAUUUCUCAGCAUCAUCUAUCCUUGAGUAGCGAUUAUUUUCGUUGUUGAGUAAGCUGCUGUCUUAUUUUCCUAACAUCCCCCCGCAAAUUGGGCAAGGGUGAAUAACCAAUGCCCAAUUUGAGCCGAAGAGAGGAGUGUGUUGGUUUAGAUAGUGGCUUGGUAAAGAUAUCAGCAACUUGGUUUUGGCUAGGAACAUAUUUAACACACAAAGAUCCAGAUGCAACUUUUUCUCGGACAAAGUGGAAAUCAAUCUCAAUAUGUUUUGUACGAGCAUGAAGUAUAGGAUUCGCUGUGAGAGAUAUUGCAGAUUGAUUGUCACAGAAUAGUAUGGUUGGUGAGUGAAGAGAAACUCUAAUGUCUCUGAGAACAAAAGAAAUCCAGGUAAGAUCAGCUGUUGCUGAGGCAAGAGCUCUAUAUUCAGCUUCAGUGGAGGACCGGGAAACAGUUGAUUGUUUCUUAGCAGUCCAUGAGAUGAGAUUAGAACCGAGGUAAGUACAGAAGCCUGUGGUGGAACGUCUCGUUUGAAGACAGCCAGCCCAAUCUGCAUCAGAGAAGCCAUAUAAUUGGAGAGAGCUGUGAGAGUGAAGUGACAUACCGAGGUGAAUUGUGCCUUUUACAUAUCGAAGAACUCGUUUUAGUUGAAGAAGAUCUCCAAUAGUGGGGUGUUGUAGUUUCUGACAUAGGAGAUUUGUUGCAAAGGCAAGAUCAGGUCUGGUAAUAGUGAGAUAUAGUAGGCCUCCUACGAGACUUCGAUAGUUCAUGGGAUUUGGAAGAAGAACAGCAUCUCUUUCAAGUAUAACUGGUUUAAGAGAGAGAGGUGUAGCAAUAGGUUUACAGUCAAUCAUGUGUGCACGAGACAGUAAGUCAAGAGCAUACUUGGUUUGACAUAAGAACAGUUCGGUAGGUGUUCGUGUGGCUUCAAUUCCAAGAAAAUAAUGAAGCUGACCCAGAUCUUUCAUAUGGAAUUGAACACUGAGUGAAUGAAUAAGAGUCUGUAGCAAUGAUUCUGAGCUACCAGUGAGGAUUAUAUCGUCUACAUAUAGAAGUAACAACAUUGUCUCUUGUUCUUGAUGAAGUAUGAACAGAGAUGGGUCAGUUGAACUGCAGAAAAAGCCAAUCUCAAGUAAGAAAUUGCUGAAUUUAUCAUACCAGGCACGUGGUGCUUGCCGCAGUCCAUAAAGUGACUUUUGAAGUAGACAUACAUAUUGUGAAUACUGUGGAUGAACAAAACCAGGAGGUUGUUCCAUGUACACAGUUUCAUUCAAGGUGCCAUGUAAGAAGGCGUUCUUGACAUCAAGUUGGUGUAUAGACCAAUGUUGUACCAUUGCUACAGAGAGAACAAGUCUAACCGUUGCAUGUUUUAUCACAGGACUAAAGGUUUCUGUGAAGUCGAUUCCUUCUUCUUGAUGAAAUCCCUUGGCUACUAGACGAGCCUUUAAUCGAUCAAGAUUACCAGUAGAAGUAAGUUUAGUCUUGAACACCCAUUUGCAACCAAUAACAUUCAUGUUAUUUGUACGAGGAACCAAUGACCAGGUUUGAUUCUGGUGUAAUGCACUCAUUUCUUCUUGCAUUGCCUUAUACCAUCCUGGAUCUGCUAGAGCAGUUUUUAAUGAUUUUGGUUCUGAAGGAACUUGAUAUUGAGCAAGACAUGCAUAUCGAGGAUUAGCUUUAACUAUACCAGAUUUAGACCUGGUUUGCAUGUGAUGAGUAGGUUGUGUACCUUGUACAGGAUGGAUAGACUGUGUUUGUUCAAUAGCUGGUUCUGUUACUGUCACUGUGGUGGUUCCAGAUAUAUUCUCUUGUGGAGACAUACUUUGAAUAGGAGAUGGAGCUUGAUCAUCUGGUGAGACAGUUGUAGGUUCUAUAUGUUCUGCACAAACUUGCUCAGCUGGAAUACACUUUGUUUGAUGAGAUGUUAAAGUAUUGAUAGGCUCUAUACUUGGAGCUUGUAAGAAUUUCUCUUCUUCUGUCCAUAGUUUAUACAGUUGUGUAUAUGUUGAGGACUGUGUUGUCAGCCUUUUAGAGAAAGGGAAGAACUUCUCAUCAAAAAUUACAUGUCGACUGAUGUACACAUGACCAGUAGUAGGUACCAAACAUCGGUAUCCUUUAUGAUGAGUGCUGUAACCAAGAAAUACACAGGUAAGUGAUCGUGGAUCCAGCUUGUGUUGUGCAUAGGGUCGAAGGCAGGGAUAGCAAGCACACCCGAAUACUCUGAGAUGAUCAUAUCUUGGCUUAGACUUAUAUAGCUUGAGAAAGGGAGAUAGCAUCCUUAACUGUGGAGUAGGAAGUAUAUUGACAGUAUAGUUUGCUGUCAUAAACGCAUCAACCCAAAAUUUUAAUGGGACUUUUGCAUGAUAUAACAUAGCCAGACCAAGCUCAACUAUAUGUCGAUGCUUUCUCUCAGGUAUUCCAUUCUGUUCGGGUGUAUAUGGACAAGAGAUAAGUUGUUGAAUGCCACAACUUUGUAGAUGAGCUUUAAACUUGUGACUGACAAACUCUCCCCCACCAUCGCAUUGAAACCUCUUGAUUUUGCAAUUGUGCUGGUUUUCUACUAACUUCUGAAACCUAAGAAAGAUAUCAUAGAAGUCUGAUUUUAAUUUCAAUGGAUACAUCCAGCUGAAUCGAGAAAAGUUGUCAACAAAGAUCACAUAAUACUUGAAAUUCUGAUAAGAGUUUACUGGAGAAGGCCCCCAGAUGUCACAAUGGACUUGUUCUAGAGGUUUAUUCGCUACAGAUCUUGACACAGGAAAGGGUAGAGCUGUGUUCUUAGCAAGCUGACAACUUCUACAUAUAGAUUGUGAUUCUGUAUUACACUGGAUCAACUUUUGAUUCUUCAAAUGCUUCAGGACAUUUUGAUUCGUAUGAGCUAGCCUUUGAUGCCAUAUGUUUUCUCCUGUGAUCUUCUGUCUCUGAGUGAAGAACACCUCUGCAGCGCAAGGAUCAAUUCUGUAUAGUCCUUUCUCCUUCUUCCCUAUCAUCCUGGUUAUGUUGGUGGUGCUGUCCUUUAUGUAUACCCCAAUUUUGUCAAAGACAAAAGAACAGGGAUAAUCAUCGGUUAGUCUAGAGAUUGAAAGAAGAUUUUUCUUAAUUGCUGGAACAAUUAACACGUCUUUUAGAGGCAAGAUAGAAGCAGCAGUAUUUAGCAUUGUAUUCCCAAUGUAUUUCACAGGUAAACAUGAACCGUUGCCAAUCAUUACUGUAUCCGUACCAGCAUUCUUAGAGAAGUUUUGGAGAAUACCAGCAUUUGCCGAAAUGUGAGCAGUUGCUCCAGUAUCAGGAUACCAUUCAUUUCCAUUAGUAUCCUCAAUGUGGAGUGCUGAUAGAGCUGUAGGUAUUUCUUCAGCUUGGUAAGAAUUAUCAAAUCUAUACCAGCAGUGCAAUGCAUCGUGACCUGGUUUUCUGCAGAUCUGGCACUCCAGUCGAGUGUUUGUUGUUGCUUUUUCCAUCUGCAUAUCUUUGUGAGAAGUUAAGUUUGAUGUAGGAUACAUCUUGGCUUCUGUAUACCUCUGAGCUGAACUAUUAUAUGGUCUGAACCCCUGACCAGGACUCAAGGUAGAGGGAGUAUUGGCCUGGUUAAGAUGUUGACUCCCCUGUUCAUAGCUCGAGUUAUUAGUUCUGUAAUUCAUAUCUCUUCCAAUCCUUCCAAAGUUGCUGUAUCUGCUAUUAAAUGGUCUUCCUCUUCCAAAACUUCUUCCUCCACGACUAUAACCCCUUGAAUUUCCAAGAUUGUUGCUUUGCUGUAAAAAAUUUCUAUUAAACUCAUCUUUGUGUAUAGCUUCAGUCUUCCUUUGACCAUAAUAGGCUAGGUUUGGACUGAACUGACUUGAGGAAUAGUUUUGCAGCCUUGAUUCAAACCUUUCUAGAUGAGAGAUCACUUCAUCAUAUUCCGGUUGAGGCUUUAAACAAUAAAUUGUUGUUUUAAAGCUCUCAUACUCGGAUCCCAAGCCUUCCAAAAUGCCAAACAGUUUUGUUAUGUCAUCUACUGGUUUACCUAUGGCAUUUAAUUGAUCACAUAUUGUCUUGUACUCUCUGAGAUAUGUUGAUAGAGUUCUAUCACGUUUCUGACAGGCCUGCAAUUUUCCUCUGAGUUCAAACUCCUUUGCCACAGAUUUUUGGGUGAACCGAUUAAGUAGAGUCUCCCAAAGUUCAUAGGCUGUGUUUAAGCCAAUUAUUAGGCUAAGUAUAUCUUCGGAAACAGCACCACUGAUCCAAGAGGAGAUGAGUUGAUCCGUUUUAAUCCAGUCAAUAUAGUCAGGAUUAGGGAUAUCAAGUGUUUGAUCUCCUUCUUCUACCUGCAGUGUUUUAGCAGGCGGUGGAGUUUCUCCACUCACAAAUCCAAACAGAUCUUGACUUCUUAAAAAUCUAUGAAACUGAGCUUGCCAUAGAAGGAAGUUGUUCUCAGUUAAUCUGAUCGUAACAAAGUUCGAGAUGUUGACAUGAAUAGGAAAAGGAUAUCUCGAGCUUUUUGCUGCCAUUCUACUUUCCAGAUCUUUGAAUACCACUUGUUUCGAAUACAAUCUUUACUAGUUUUUGCAGUAUGAUGCAGUAAAUCGAUUUCUAAUGACAGAGAUUUGAAGGAAGAUGAAGAAUAUCGACUCACGGAUCAACAGGGCUUCGAUUCCUGACUCCAAUCUGCUGUAGAAUCAGCCAUUUUUAUGCAGAUUUGAGAUGAUUUCUUCAGGAUGACUGCUCUGAUACCAUUUGCAACAGCAGUAAUGCCACUAGCUUGAAUGUUCAUUUGAAUGUCAAACCCAUGUCAAUAACAUGUGCUAACCUUCGUAUCCACAGUUCCAUAACAGUGCAUUGACAAUUUGCCAUGUUGAAUCACAGAAACAACAGUACUUCAUAUCCACAAUUCCGUAACAGCGCAUUAACAACUUGCCGUGUUGAAUCAUCAUUUUCAACAAGAAGAACCUUAACUGUCUUGAUGGGGAGGAACCUAUCCCAUAGUACCGCAGGCCCAUGAGACUGUUGUGACCCUUGGGGCUGUUGUGGCUGUAUUUGAAAACCAUCAUGUGCCUGAAUAUCCAGACUAGGACAACCAUUACCAUACUCUGCUAUGUCAUUAGACCUAGAAUUGUCUUCCUCGGAUGAAUUCCGACAUUGCUCCCCAUGCAGAAUUCCAUUGGUUCCUCCAUUCUGCUCAUUGUGCAUAUGAAUGCUUUGUUCAACAGACGCCCUAUCAUUGCCACUAUCAAUGGCCACUGGUAGAGCCCCCAUCAACCGGACUCAAAAUCAACAGCAACUAGAAACGCCUGAUAGCUCGAUUGACCAUAUAACUCAUGCAUGACGUCCCCUAGAAGUACUGUCUCCUUCCGGUUCCCUAGCGAACCAGCACCUCCAUUCCGGAGGUCGAUUCAGCAGCGGCGGAAGAGAACCGACGUCAGCGCAGUGGACGAAGAGAAACGAAGAACGGAAGGCGAUCCGCAAUCCCGAAGCUCGGAGCACGAAGUCAGAGCAGAGGCGAGCU